rnacentral:lncRNA from 1 species
GCAAAGAAACAAAAAGUCAGUGGUGAAGAUUCAGAUUUCACCAUUGAUGCUGGGAAUUCACUGGACGUAUCAGAAAAUUGCUUAGUUGGUAAUAAAAAAGGCAACAAUAAUCAUGACAUGUCAUCCACAUCCUUCAGCACUCAAUAUUUGAGAACAGCGUGUGAGAACUUCAAACAGAAAUACUUGUCUGUGUUUAGUUCAAAACUUUCUGUAGCUCAGCUAGACUUUAACAAAUCAUACACACAGGUAUGUUUCCUCCAUAUUGGAACAUGAUAUAAACUUUCUCAUAAUGCAAUGUUAUGUCAUAAAUAGAGCCGUGUUUACAUAAAUUAUCAGUAUAUCUGAAUGUGGUUAUUUCAUUGAAUGUAGAGUUGACAACAUGGCACAUUUAUAUCUCACGACUACAUAUAUUUGAUCUAGAAAUCCUUUUUUUUAUUGAAUAAUCAGAUAAACUAUAUAGAUGUGUAUAAAAAUUAGGUCAUGCAACACUAAACCUCCAUGAUUGGCCUCAUGCUGGGUUAUAUUGCAGCCAAUCCAAAUCUGUAUAAUUAGCCAAAGUGAAGGGAACUGUAUCUGUUUUAGUAUAGAUGUAUACAACUUCAGGAACCUCACCCCACUCACAAAUUUCAUUAGCAGAAACCUAUGCUCAUUGGACUUCAUCAAGAUGUAGAUGUUCUCUGCGUUUUUGGUCAGUAGGAAUUAUUUUCUACCAGUUCUCACAUUCUCUGCCCACAAACUCUACUCUGAUUCGAGCUGGUUCCUACACAAAUUAGACACUGAUAUAGGAGAAGCAAAUCUUUAACAGCCUGCUUUUAUGAUCCCUUAAAGAAUCCCACCUCAAACCCAUUCCCCUUCAAAGAGAAUAAUAGGAAUUCCCUUUCAUGAUGGUAUUUCAUGAUUCAGUGUUUAGGAUUCUAACUCAAACCCAUGCUGUUUGCCAUUGUCUACCAGGUUUUCUUGCAUGCUAGUAUUUUCUCACACAAAAAUAGGCCCUAAUCUGUUAUUUUCUGGUAGUUGAACCCUCUGUCAUCUAUUUGGGUGAGUGAGGUAUUACUUAGUCAUUUGAACCAGACUUUUUAUUGGUCUGCAAGCAGAAUGGCUGCUUUUCAGUAUGUUCUAGUGUGCUAUGUCAAAGGUGAGUAUAACAUUGUUACGGUUGAUGACCACAACUUCAUUACUGUUUUCAUUUAAAAAAUCUAAAACAAAGAUGGCACAUUUAUUUCAUAGGAAUUGAUUAUCAUAUUCUAAGGGGUGGCAUAACUAGAAAUUGUCUAUUUUUUCUGCAUUUCUUAUUUUUUUUCAGUCUUUCGGUGUUAAGCAAGAUUAUAAUUCUUUUGAAGGUUUGUAAUGCAUUUGGUGAGAGAAAAAAUCUACAUACAGUUUGGUGGUUGGAUGCUCUCAAUCAUGCAGAACAGAACAAGGAUUCCACAGGUGAGCUGAUAAGAAAGAUUGAAGAGGCUGUCUCAGGAACUCUAAACAAUUCGAGAUCAUCAAGAAUUGCAUCACGGUUAGUGAUUGUCUAAAAUAUGCGCAAUGAAUAAAUAUAUCAUUCUAUUUCAACUUCUUUGAUCAUAAUAUGUAAUUGCUUUGUAUUUUUGCCAACUUAUACUCCCCAUUGAACUUCAAAGCUAAGUUAGAAAACCUACUGGUAUGCAGUCUUGGUCCGGAUAUCAAUUCUAAUUAUGGUAGUUUACUAAUACUGAUCUCACUUCAGUUUACGAAGCAUUACUGGUCUGAAGUACCACAUCCAAACUCAUUUAGAUCAAUUGGAAGCUUCUAGACAAACGUUAAUUGAUCGAAUUUUGGAAAUUGAUCAAACAAUGGCGAACCCAAAGGAAGAGGAUAUUGAACGUGUGAGACAUUGUCGAAUAUGCCAAGCUAUUGAUGAUGGUCCCACAUGUGUUCAUUGUGAAUUGGAGGAAUCAUUUCAGGUAUGUUAGUCAACUGCCUGUUUACUUUGAUAUUUGACUAUUUAGUACGUUGAAGAAGGGGGAGAGGGGAUUCACUGUGAUCACAUUUUUAUAUUUGUUUGUCAGGAAUAUGAGGCAAGGUUAUUUCGUCUUAACAAAUUACAUGGAGGCAUUAUUACAUCUGCUGAAGAGGCAGUGAAUCUGCAAAAAAGGAACUCAGAAAGAAAUCGUUACUACUGGAAUUUAGACCGCCAAAAGAAAAAAUUACUGCCAUCUAGUGAUUUUAAUGAAGAAUCGAAGAAAAGAAAGACUGGAGAAACAGUGAUGGUAAGUUUCCUUACCUCAAUAGGUCAAACUAAACCAUCUUUCAUCUACCAGAUGUUUAAUUCUGGAGAUUCCUCGCUGCCAUCCGUUAAUGGACAUGGUUGUCAGAUUGAAUGGCUGUUCUUAUGUGAACUAGCCUAUGAAUCUUACUCCAGCAUAUAUGGCUGUAUAUUUUUUUAAGACUCUUAUCACUUGAUUGGAGCUUGCAAAGCACAAGUUAACAGAUAGGCGGCUCAUCUCAUUUUAGCAAUGCCAAAUUUUAAUCACCAGUGGUGGUGAGCUAGGUUGUUUUUAGACGCCCCUCUUUAUAAUCCUUGGGGCACAGCACAUGCAGGGAGGGGCAGUAGCUUGAGAAUUAAACUUACUGGAUACUGAGUGAAACUCUGUCCUAAGUAUUGUAAAAGUCAUCAAAUAUUUGUUUUUGUCAUCUAUCAGGUCACUUUCAUGAUGCCUAAUCAGUCCCUCAUAAUUGUUAAAAUGAGGAAUGGGCAGUGUAAUCCAGCAACUGAUCUUUGUGGCCAGUCUGUCUUAUUACAAAGUCCAACCCAGAGCUUUAAGUUAAUGGAUGGAAAGGAUAUUCUAGUACAUUCCACGCUCCUAAUCACAUUUACUAAAACUGAUGCUCACAAAUGGGCUGCAGAAUCAUGUCAUAUAUAGUGGACAUAUGGGUUCAAUAGUAUGUGCUACUUCUACGUUAACACAAUUAGAUCUUACACAUAUGGGGCAACUGAUAAUCUUAGUUUUCAUUGCAAGCACUUCAGGAAUUAGUAUUGUCAAAUUCUAUUGCGGGAAAAUAACGUGAUGCUGCAACAAGCACAAACAAUUACUAUAUAUUCCCUUGUUGUUGAUAGGUUUCAAAAUCGCCAUCUGAAUUGGAGGUUAUUCUUGGAGUUAUAAAGAGCUAUUGCAAGGCCCAGUUAGAAAAUGAAGCUGUGUCUGCUGCCAGCCUGCAGAUACACAUUCUGGAGGUAUGCUUGAUCGAUUCUUUUUUUCUUUUUUCUUCUCCUUUUUGUUGUGGAAACUUCUACACUAGAACUGUAUUGAAUGAACAAAUCAUUAAUAAUAUUGAAUGCAAGCAUUUUAAAACUUACAUUCUUUCUAUUUCAUCUAGGGAAUGAGGAAGGAGUAUGGACAUGCAAGGUCCUUGGCAGUUGCUCAAGCUCAACUUUUUCGUGCUCAUGAUGAACUUAAGAUGGCAACAGCACGUUUGCACUUAAGAGAAAAUGAGAACGAUACAUCUAUGGAUGCUAUGGGUGAAGAUGAAUUAGAGUCUGCUAGCGUGCUACACUCUAAUGAAAAGUUCAUGUCCUUGAACUUGCUGUCUCAUACAAAGGGGAAACUUCGUUAUCUGAAGGUACCAGCAUAGCCUUGUAAAUUUUUAUAUUUAAAGUAAUUGACAUAUGCUAUUAUUUGGUGCUUUCUUUGAUACUUUAAGGUGCUUUAAUGUUAUUCUCCUUUUCUUUUGACUUUCUAUGAAUUCAUCUUUCUAAAAGAGGUUAUUAUUGUAUGCCAAUGUUGUGAAUUUUUUUAUAAGCCUAAACCAUCAAAGUUAGUCCUAUUCCUAUGGAAAAACUAAAACUGAAGCAUUUUAGUUGGAUUAGUGAUAUUGAUGGGAAUGAGAUUUUCCAUUAAUAUGUUUUACCUACUACCACUACUACUAAUCCACACACACAUGCACAACAUAAACACUACAACAAUAUCAAUGUGAGUAUUUUUCCUCUUUGUUUUUCCCUCUAAAAAAUGGUGAGACAAAACUCAUAAUCCAAGAUUGUUAUUUGCCUUUAUGUGUUAACUAUAUGUCAUUAUUCACCACCAGAAAAGAGAGAUGGUAUUUUUAAUAGGAGUCGAUACCCUUCCUUCAAUGUCUUGGAUUUUAAUUAGAACUUUUUUUGUUUCUCUAAAUUAUGUUUCUAUGUUGGAAGGGAUGUAGUUGCACAAAUAGGUUGAUGUUUUUGUGCAGGUUUUUUUUUUUUACCUUCUCUCCCAAAUUAAAUUGAUAGAAUUGGUCUCCUUUAUUGCCUUUUCUUUUUAAGUGAUUUUUUGUAGGUAAAAUCUUCUGAUGAAGUUUGCUUGAAUUGUCAUGACCACAAGUCUCUCUCUUUACUUUCAUUUGUAAAUCCAUCAUUUCUCAUCUCCCAUGAAACUUACAAAAUAAAGAAUAAAAAAUGUAUCAUGUUUAUUUGUGGAACAUUUUUUAGUUUUCUGAAAAAAAAAUUUGUUUAUUGUCAAAGAACUAUCUCAACCCAAAAGUUUAAGUUGUUAGGUAAGGUCUCAAGAUAUGAUUUAUAUUAUUUUCUAACACACCCCCUCAAGUGAAAGCCCUUUGGGCUUGAAACUUGCACAGACCCACAUUACCUUGUGCUUAAUUUUUAACAAAUAAGCUUGUUUGGCAGUGUAGUUGCGGUUGCUUUUCAAAUAACUUUUUGUGCCAAAAUGCAUGCCAAUGAUGUUUUUUUAUUUUUUAAAAAUUAUUUUUGAUAUCAGCACAUCAAAAUGAUUUGAAAACACUAAAAACAUAUUAAUUUAAAGUUAAUAAAAAAUUUUCAAAUUUUUUGAAAAGCGCUUUUGAAACGCAGAAACAAAUAGGUCCUUAGGGGAUGGUGAGAUUAACUCGUGACCGCUUGGUUAUCAAGGCUCGAAUACCAUGUUAAAUAAUCAUCUCAACCCAAAAGCUUAAGCUAUUAGGUGAGGUCCCAAGAUAUGAUUUAUAUUAUUUUCUAACAUUUACUAAUUCAAAAUAAAAAUUAUUUUCUUGGAAACACUCUUCUGUGGUUUUUUAGAAAACUAAAAAACACAAAAAAGUUGUUUUUCCAAAUGCUCCUUUUGGGACUUGUUUGGUUUGCUGAAUUUUGUGUCUAUUCUUUUAUUGUUUCUAAUGUAAGCCAAAUAAGAUCUUCUAAUUUUGGAACAUGUUUCCUUAAUUUUCCAUAGAGAAAUGUUGUUAGGAUAAAUGCAAAAAACUAGAUAUGGGAACCAUAAAACUAUUUUCUGAAAGUAAACGUGAAAACAUGACCUUAGCUUCUGAAGUCUUUGUCCACAUCUUUUAAUUAUUUAACAUUCAUAUAUAGCCUUAUUGGUGAUUCUUUUCAAAAAUGGCUGUGAUCUGGCUUUCGGUUGAAGCACUAUGAACUAUCAAUUAUGUCAUACUGAUAUAAAACAAAAACAAAGUCUAAAAGCAUUUUUUAAGGCAACGAUUUGGUUCUAAUUUCUCUUAUUUUUCUUUUGAAAUAUUUUUUAGUUUUCUUGUUUUGAGAAAGAAAGAGUUUGAAGAUAAAGAAAUGCUGGUUACUGCCUUACUCUUUGCCUUUUGUUUGUUAGCCCUUUCUAAGUGAUACUUUUAAAUUGUUCAGCUAAUUUAGUGCACUCCUCAUCAUAUUGUAAGUGUUGACACCUUUGGUUUUUUAGCCAGCAUAAUUGUUAAUAAACCUUGGCUGGGUGACAUGUGUUACUCAAUUCCUUUCUGUUACUGUAUGUAUAUGAAUAAAUUAUUUCUUUUUCAUCAUUGAUCUUACUAUCUGAUUUACUUUCAGGGUUUGGUACAAUCAAAACAGAAACCAACAUCUGAAAGUUCAAAUAAUUCCUUGUUAGCUGAAGAAAUGGCUGCCGUGCCAAUGACAACAGAGAAGAUAAGUGAAUAUUUGCCAAAAGAUGAUGAGGAAGCAUGCCCUAUCUGUCAAGAGAAGCUAAACAAUCAAAAGAUGGUUUUCCCAUGCGGGCACGUCACUUGCUGUAAAUGUGAGUUUUACCUGUUUUCCAUUUCAUGAUUCUUCAACUUCCUAAAAUCCAUUCAUGAAAUAAUUAUGGUGUUAGAACAACAAACAUUCAGUUUACCGACUUUAGAACUGGCUCUCUCGUGUGAAUUUAAUACAACAAACAUUGAUAAAAAGAAGCAAAUGACCCAAUAGGCAUCCCAAACAGAACAAACCAAACAAUCCUACAUAUGGAGUCUGGAUCCAGCUAAAACUGGGCAUCCGACCUUCUAAGCCAGUAAUAGUAGGUGCAAAAGCCAAUGCAUGAUAAGAAACCAUCUUAUAAAAGACUACCUUUUCUCCUAAUUGUCGCACAACAUAUUGAUAAUCCUGCUUCCUAUAUCUGCAUUUAGUCACUUAAAAGUUAGGAGAGACCAUGGCAAUUUUUCUACCUUGAUUUGAUGGGUCAACUGCAUUCUCAGUUGAUGAAUACUUUGUCCUAGCAUCCUUGAUCCACCAGUUCCUCAGACUUCUCUCUUUCAUGUGUGUGUGAGCGCGAUGCACAUGAUUGCUUGCAUGCAUGUACUCAGACAUGCAUGCUUGCUUGUCUCUUAGAUGUCCUCAACCAUCUUAAGUACGUUGGAGUUGACUUUAUUACCUGUUGAUUCCUCUCAUAUGAAAUAUUUCACCCUGGUUAAGCGCCAUUUAAUUUUCAUUUCAUGCUUUUUUCUUGCAGGUUUCUUUGCAAUGACUGAGCGAAACAUGCAUGAUAAUAGGUUCCAACGUAAAUGGGUAAUGUGCCCAACAUGUCGGCAGCAUACUGAUUUUGGGAAUAUUGCGUAUGCCGAUGAUAGACGGGACAAAUCUUGUAGUUCUGCUAUGCUGGAUGCAAUUCAAGGCUGCGAAAAAACUGAAGCUACUUUGGCUGUUCAAGGUUCAUAUGGAACAAAGGUUUACUACCUAAUCUAAUGCCUUGAGCAAAUUCAAAUUCAAAUUUAUAGUCUUGGAACAUGCACAUAGUGCACUUAAGACAGCAUUUACUAUUGCAUUUCUAUUCUCCUUUUCCCAGAGCAUAAACCUUGUUCACUUCUUUUUUGGCACCAUAAAGGUUGAAGCAGUCACUAGAAGAAUCUUGUGGAUAAAGUCUUCAGAUCCUAAAGCAAAGGUUCUCGUAUUUUCAAGUUGGAAUGAUGUCCUUGAUGUGUUAGAGCAUGCUUUCAAUGCUAAUGAAAUCACCUAUAUCCGGAUGAAAGGAGGAAGGUAGAUAGAUCUCUUGAUCAUCUUAUUUAUGUUUUUUUAUAGUUCAUCUGAUCUUCAUGGACCUUGAUGGGCCAAAAGAAAAGGGCUAUGCCAUCCAGGAGAAUUUUCAUUUUGCUUUUCAGGUUUGCCAAAAGAUUGUUGUUAAAUUCCUCUUAAUUUGGUAACUCAAACAAAAUUAUCACGAAACCACAUCAUCCAAGAAAAGUGGUUCCUUCUGUUUUCAGCAUUCUUAUGCAAGCAAAGUGCAAAAAUUAGGUUGAUGAAUACUAAUGAUAUCACGAACAAAAUGAAAGGAGAUUGGGGAUGAAAAAUAACUGCCUUGCAUAAUUUGUGCAAAUAUUGAAAUGUUGUAAUUUAACCUUGGGGAGGGAAGAGAGAGAUCCAAUUAUAGUAGAUCAACACUUGGAGUUCUGUAAAAAUUGGUAUUGUGGGAAGUUUAAAAGUUUGAAUGUAUGCAUACCUCUUUGUUUCCCAGUGCCAAAAAUACUGUUAGAAGUGUGUUUCAGGUAUUUUAAUGUUGAUCAAGUUAUUUGUAGACUUCAACUUAUUUUUUAUCAUGUCUUUUGGUUGUGACUUCAUAAAUGCAGGAAAUCACAUGUUGCCAUCAGUGAAUUCAGAGCGCAGAAUAGCAGUCUCAAAAGAACUGAUAGACAACAACAAGAAACAAAAUCUGUUCAAGUGUUGCUGCUCUUAAUCCAGCAUGGAGCCAAUGGACUCAAUCUCUUAGAAGCACAGCAUGUUGUUCUUGUGGAGCCACUGCUCAAUCCAGCAGCUGAGGCUCAAGCAGUCAGCCGGGUGCACCGAAUUGGGCAGGAAAAGAGGACAUUAGUCCAUCGAUUUAUAGUAUGCUCCUUUUCCUUUUUAUUUUUUUUAAUUUUGUGUGUUUUUUGUUAAACUAAUUUUGGAUGUUAAACACUCGCGUUUUUUCUCUUUUGAACAUUGCAUAUAGCAGACAUGCAUUUGAGAUACAUAACCUCACCACACUGAAGAUAGCAUGGGGUAUUUUGGGACUAUUUGUUUGAGUUCCUUUUUAAAACAAUUUACAUUUCUAUUUAGCUCUCCAUUUAUCCAUGCAAUUUCUAUAUGUAAUUAGAUGAGACUUAUAAUAAUCCUUAUCAUGUCAACCAUCCGAUUGUUGCUCGAAUGGAGCCUUUUAUAUUUGUUUCAGAAUUUAAAUGUACACUCCCUUCUUUAGUGAUUAUAUUAGGAUUUGAUGCUAUGAAAAGGAGCAUGCAGGAACUCUUUAAGGACUAGCGUUUACAAAGACCUCUCGGCUUUCUAGUUUGCUUGUUCUCCGAAACUUUGAAAAUUCAUGUUAUCUGUUAUAAUUUCUGCUUUAUAGUCUCUAUGUGUUCUAACAAAAUUUCUCCCUUUUCUUCUAUGAUCUUAUUAGGUUAAAGACACCGUGGAAGAGAGCAUAUAUAAACUGAACAGAAGUAGAAGCACCAGUUCAUUCAUAAGUGGGAACACGAAGAAUCAGGAUCAGCCUUUGUUAACCCUUAAGGAUGUUGAGUCGCUAUUCGCAACAGUGCCGUCCACUGUGCCAGAAAGUGAUGGAAAGCCAACUGAAAACCUAAGACAUCUGCCCCCAUCCGUGGCUGCUGCUCUAGCAGCUGAGAGGAGACUGAAGGAAAAUACAGCAGGAAUUUCCGUGUGAUAAUCAUUCUUUUCUUUGAACACCAAACCUCAGAAUGGAAUUGCAGUUAAGCAAUCUUCUGGCUAUGUCAUCACUUCCAAAAGGCAGCUGUUGUUUCAUCUCCGAAGGGGAGAGCGUCUCCCCGGUCUGUCAUCGAUUGUCUAACCAGAGGUUGCAUAGUCGUCUAUGAUUUUUAUUUUUUUUAUUGGUGUAUAUAUGAAGAAUGCCAUUUUUUAGCCCUCUGUCAGUUACAGAGAGUAAUUUAACGAGGAAUUCGUUGUAGAUUAGCUCAUUUAGCCAUUAUGUAUACUCGCUGCGUAGGUUAAACAAAGCUAAGAAAAGCUAGGUCCUCUUCUCCUUGGUCUCCAAUGGCAGAUAUUAGACACUCAUUCAAUCUUUGCACCAUCUUUCUUUGUCUACUUUUGUUCAAAGAACUGGCUCGUCAAUAUUUCUUCUUUUUCCGUUUUGUAUAGAAACACAUCGCAAUAAUCUUCAUUAAAACUAGCUCUGUUUUGCAAUCUCCCAUUCCAAUGUCUGUGCUGAACAGAGAUUUCUUCUUUAAACAGAAUUGUCAAAGUCUUGUGCCUUCAAGAAACCUCAUUCUCAUGCCAUCUCUCAUUCGAACAAGACCCACUCUACCAGAAUUUCCAACUUGAUGAUUAGAAUUAUUGACCAUACUUUGUUUGACUUGUUCCGUGGAAUUAUCUCAGUCUCUUCGUCAAAGUUGGCCCUCCAUUAUGGAAAUUAAUUUGGUGAGUCUCUCUCACAUUUAUCUUUUCAGUGGAAAAGAUGGAAAGGGAGAAGAAAUUAUUGAUGAACUGGAAAUUACAAGAUACACCCACAAGUGUGUCUCACGUCAAUUACAAUAUCUUCCAUUGAAUACAUUGAAUUAGUGAUCAAAUUGCUAGAUUAAAGUUUAUUUCAUAGAAUUCUUUGCUUUUUAUCACCCUUUAUUUACUUUCAUUGUCAAUUGGUCAUAAAGAAGCUAUCUUAUUCUCUUUCGAGAUGGAAAGGGAGAAGAAAUUAUAGAGGAUAAAAUAUUUUGUAUAAAAAAAUACAAUUAAAUUUUACAAGUAUGUAUCUAAGUAGUUCGUGUUUGAAAAUAAUAAUAAAUUUAUUUAUUUAGAUUUUAUGCACUAUCACUAGCCUAAUCUACCAUAGCAAACCAUGGAAAUAAUGUAAUAAUCAAUGAUUAAAAAAAAAAAACAAUUCCAAUCAUGUUUUCCUACCUAUAUAUAAAUACCUCUCCAUGGAAGAGCCUAAUCUAGCACAAUAGCAAACCAUCUCCAAUGUCUCUUGAAAAACACACCAUGACGACAUCCUUAUAAAAAAAUUAAUUAAAAAUUAUUUUUAAAAUUAUUCAAGGAUAGUUUAAUUAUUUUAUAUAAAAAAUAGAAUAUAUUUAUAUAUAUAAAAAAAUUAGAAUACUGGAGUGUAAUUUAAAUAUUUUUUAAAUUAAUUAGUAUAUUUACAAUUAAUACGUAUCUCGACUAAUCUCACGAAUUUUAAAAUUAACAAUUAUAUAAAUCUUUAAUGAUUUCAAAAUUUAUAAAUUAUAUUUUUAAAAAUUAAAUUUAAAAUCCAACUAAUUAAAACUAUUGUAUUACAGACCAUACUUGUUUGACUUGUUCCGUGGUUGUUACUGUUACUGAUCCAUAGUCUUCUCAGUCUCUUCGUCAAAGUUGGUCCUCCAUUAUGGAAAUUUGGUGAGUCUCUCGCAUACACUUUUCCAUUGUCUUUUCAGUGGAAAAUAUGGAAACGGAGAACAAAUUAUUGAAUAUAUUGAAUCCCACUUCAACAUUCUCUUUAUAAAUCCCACAAGUGUCUCACAUCAAUUACAAUAUCUUCCAUUGAAUAUAUUGAAUUAGUGAUCAAAUUGCUAGGAAAAGAAACCUCAUUCUCAUGCCAUCUCUCAUUCGUGAAAUGUCCAUAUCAUAUGUAGACCACGAUAGCAGCAAGACCCACUCUACCAACCAUUGAAUUUCCAACUCGAUGUUGAAUUUUGUAAUGAAAUGAAUUUCCAGUAGAAAAUUCAAACCCAAAGAACACGAUAACAGUAUAUCCAUUAAUACUAAAUUUGGAGUAAAGAAAGUAAAUACAGAGCGGGCCCAUGUGCUCCAAUUUGCCUGACUUUUUUGGACGGAAUGUAGAUUCAACAAAUGAAAAAUAUAGAGGUUAUUAAUUUGAAUUUCAUAAAUUUCAUGUAAUAUGGAGACCACUUGUAUAGAUAUUGCCAAUAACUUUCUCGUAGAGCAAUUUGCACGUAGUGUUUUUGUGGACAUGAGCUCAUGGAAGCCUGUGCCUCAUCCACCCGUGCAGAUCUUGAGGAGCCACCGGGUCCAGAAUCCUCUGCUAUAAUAUUUGUUUUUGCAAAAAUUUUAUUUUUUUGUUUAUUUUAAAUUAAUAUUAAUACGUUAAUAUCAAAACUAAUUUUUAAAACUAAAAAAAUAUUAUUUUAAUAUAUUUUUAAAUAAAAAUCUUCAACUAUAUACUUCAAAAUAAAUCCUAAACCGUGAUAUCAUGAUUUUGAUUAAUUUAUUAGGUCCGAUAAUAAUAUAACAAAGUUAUGUUAAUAUAACAAAGCAAACCAAUAACACAUAAAUAUAGUUAAAGUUAUCUUAUUCCUUUAGAGUGCUAUAAAUUAAAAAAUUAGAUAAAAAAAUUAAAAGGGACGAAAAUGUGUUCACAUCGAGGUAAAGUAUCAUAACAAAUAUAUGUGAUAAAAAAUUAAUUAGUAUUUUUUUUAGAAUAUUUUAAGAAUAAUUUAAUUUUUUUAUAUAAAAAAUAUUAAAAAACAUUAAUUAGUAUUUAGGUUUAGGAUACUUGAAGAGUAGUUUAAAUAUUUUUUUAUAACAAAUAAAAAAAUUAUAAAAAUUAUUAAUUAGAAUUUAUGUUUAGAAAACUUCAAGGAUAAUUUAAUUUGUUUAUAUAAAAAAUAGAAAAAUAUUAUAAAAAAAAUAUUUAGGAUAUUUCGAAUGUAGUUUAAAUGUUUAUUUUAUAUAUAAAAAAACAUUAAUUAACAUUUCUGUUUAGAAUACUUUAAUGAUAGUUAAAAUAUUUUUUUAUAACAAAUAAAAAAAAAGUAUAAAAAAAUUAAUUAGAAUUUAUGUUUAGAAUUAUUCAAUGAUAGUUUAAACUUUUUUAUAAAAAAUAGAAAACAUUUAUAAAAAACAAUAUUUAGAAUACUUCAAGUGUAAUUUAAAUAUUUUUUUAUAAAAAAUAAAAAAUAUAAUUAGUAUUUUUAUUUAACAUACUGUAUGAUAAAAUAAUUUAAAUGUUUUUUUAUAAAAAUAAAAUUAUAAUCUGUUCCGUGGAUUGAAAGGAACUUCAGAAAAAUGGAUUGAUAGGAACUUCAUUUUUCUGUUCCCGCGGUUGUUACGGGUACUGAUCCCGUUGUAGUCUUCUCAAUUUCUUUUCAGUGGAAAAUAUGGAAAUUAUUGGUGAACUGGAGAUUACAUGUGUCCCACGUCAAUUACAAUAUCUUCAUUCAAUUAGUGAUCAAAUUGCUAGACAAAAAACUAGUUUUUAUUUAUUUAUUGGAAAUGACCUUUCAUUAUAGAGGAUAAAAUAUUUUAUAUAAAAAAAAACAAUUAAAUUUACAGAGUAUGUAUCUAAGUAGUUAAUUUCAACUUAAUUAGAGAAGAGAUGUAAUAAUCAAUGAUAUUAAAAACAAUUCCAAUAUAUCAUGUUUUCCUACCUAUAAAUAAUACCUCUCCAUGGAAGAGCCUAAUCUACCAUAGCAAACCAUAUCCUAUGUCUCUUGAAAAACACACCAUGACGACGUCCUUACUAAACAAACCAUUCUUCUCCUUCUUUCUCCACAUCCUGUUUUGCUCCUUCACAUAUUCAACUCUUCUUCUUCUUUGCUUAGCUGAACACACUUCCUCCCCUUCACCAUUUCGUAAUAAUAAUACAGAAGCUGAGUCCUCCAAUGGAAAGCUAGUCUUGACAACCAAAGCCAAUCUCUCCUUUCCUCGGGUCGGCAUCAGCCCUUGCAUUAACUGGAUUGGCAUCACCUGUGACAAUUCUGGAAGCGUCACCGAUUGACACUUGAAAGUUUUGGUUGAGAGGUACGCUUUAUGGUUUAAACUUCUCAUCCUUCCCAAUCUUUUCUUGACCUUGCGAACAAUUCUCUUUCUGGAACAUCCACAGAAAUUGGAAAAUUAAAAAAUUACUACCUUGGUCUUUCUAUCAACCAACUUUUUGGUCCCAUCCCUUCUUCUAUUGGAAACUUGACAAGCCUAUCCAUUCUCUAUCUUUGGGGUAACAAACUCUCUGGUUCCAUUCCUCAGGAAAUUGAAUUGCUAGAGUCUCUCAAUGAACUUGACUUGUCAAGUAAUGUUUUAACCGGUAAAAUCCCUUAUUCCAUUGGAAAAUUAAGAAAUUUAUCUAUACUUGGUCUUCCGUUGAACCAACUCUCUGGUUCCAUUCCUUCUUUUAUUGGGAACUUGACCAUGCUCACUGAAGUAACACUACAACAAAAUAAUCUCACUGGUUUGAUCCCCUUCUCUGUUGGAAACUUGACAAGCCUAUCCAUACUCUAUCUUUGGGGUAACAAACUCUCUGGUUCCAUUCCUCAGGAAAUUGGAUUGCUAGAGUCUCUCAAUGAACUUGACUUGUCAAGUAAUGUUUUAACCAGUAAAAUCCCUUAUUCUAUUGGAAAAUUAAGAAAUUUAUCUAUACUUAGUCUUCCGAUGAACCAACUCUCUGGUCCCAUCCCUUCUUCUAUUGGAAAAUUAAAAAAUUUAUUUCUCCUUAGUCUUUUUGAGAACAAACUCUCUGGUCCCAUCCCUUCUUCUAUUGGUAACAUGACAAUGCUCAAUACAUUUUAUCUAAAUCAAAAUAAUUUAUCUGGAUGUGUUCCUUCAGAAAUAGGACAACUUAAAUCCCUUGUGGACUUGGCAUUAUUUGAGAACAAAUUCCACGGUCCAUUGCCCUCAGAGAUGAACAAUCUCACCCAUUUGAAGUAUUUGUCUUUGACUAUGAACGAAUUCACGGGUCAUUUGCCACUAGAUUUAUGCCUUGGAGGAGUAAUGAAAAUCUUUACUGCUUCCUACAACUACUUCUCAGGUUCAAUCCCGAAAAGUUUGAAAAACUGUACUGGUUUAUACCGAGUAAGACUUGAUUGGAAUCAAUUAACAGGAAAUAUUUCUGAGGUUUUUGGUGUCUAUCCACAUCUGGAUUAUAUUGAUUUGAGUUACAAUAAUUUUUAUGACGAGCUUUCUUUAAAAUGGGGAGAUUGUCGUAACAUGACAAGCCUUAAAAUCUCAAACAAUAAUGUUUCUGGUGAGAUACCACCAGAGCUUGGGAAGGCUACUCAAUUGCACUUGAUAGAUCUGUCAUCAAAUAAGUUAAAAGGAGUCAUCCCAAAAGAUUUAGGGGGUUUGAAGUUGUUGUACAAGCUUCUCCUUAACAACAACCAUCUUUCAGGUGCCAUUCCCUUAGAUAUUAAGAUGCUUUCCAAUCUUCAAUUCCUUAAUUUAGCAUCUAAUAAUCUAAGUGGAUUGAUUCCAAAACAACUUGGGGAAUGCUCGAAUUUAUUGUUGCUGAACCUCAGCAGUAAUAAAUUUAGAGAAAGCAUUCCAGGUGAGAUAGGCUUUCUACUUUCUCUUCGAGAUCUUGAUCUUAGCUUCAAUUUCCUGACUCUAGAGAUCCCACGGCAACUUGGGCAACUGCAAAGGUUGGAAACUCUGAAUGUCUCUCACAACAUGCUUUCUGGAAGAAUUCCGAGCACUUUCGAAGACAUGUUAAGCUUAACAACUGUGGAUAUAUCAUCCAAUAAGCUACAAGGCCCCAUUCCCGAUAUCAAAGCCUUCCACAACGCUUCAUUUGAGGCAUUAAGGGAUAAUAUGGGUAUAUGUGGCAACGCUAGUGGUCUAAAGCCGUGCAAUCUUCCAAAAAGCAGCAAAACUGUUAAGAGAAAGAGCAACAAGCUUGUGAUUUUGAUUGUACUCCCUCUUUUCGGAAGCUUGAUUUUAGUGUUUGUUGUGAUUGGAGCUUUAUUCAUUCUCUGCAAAAAAGCUAGGAAGAGAAACGCUGAGCCAGAAAAUGAACAAGAUCGAAACAUAUUCACGAUAUUGGGCCAUGAUGGGAAGAAGUUGUAUGAGAAUAUCGUUGAAGCUACAGAGGAAUUCAACUCCAACUACUGCAUUGGCGAAGGAGGAUAUGGAACUGUUUAUAAAGCAGCGAUGCCAACAAACAGACAGAAGCUGUGAAGAAACUUCACCGGUCACAAACAGAAAAGUUGUCCGAUUUUAAAGCUUUUGAAAGGGAAGUUUGCGUGUUGGCAAAUAUUCGACAUCGAAAUAUUGUGAAAAUGUAUGGAUUUUGCUCACAUGCAAAGCAUUCUUUUUUGGUUUACGAGUUCAUUGAAAGAGGAAGCUUGAGAAAUAUUAUAAGCAGUGAGGAACAAGCAAUUGAGUUCGAUUGGACGAAAAGGCUAAACGUUGUGAAAGGGGUGGGUGGAGCUUUAUCCUAUCUACACCAUUCUUGCUCUCCUCCGAUCAUUCAUCGAGACAUUACCAGCAAUAAUAUCCUUCUGGACUUGGAAUAUGAAGCACACGUCUCCGACUUUGGCACAGCUAGACUGUUGAUGCCUGACUCAUCCAAUUGGACCUCAUUUGCAGGUACUUUUGGAUAUACUGCUCCAGGUGCGUAGCUUUAUUUCAACAUUAAGUUACUAAUGUGUAGUAGUGAAGAUAAUAUAUAGUGUUUUUUUAGCUUUUAUUAUAAAGUCUUUUCUUUCAACUAUUUGAUAAAAAAACCAUGUAUAAUCAAUUUUUUUUUUUGGCAGAGCUAGCUUACACAAUGAAAGUGACUGAAAAAUGCGAUGUCUAUAGCUUCGGAGUGGUAACAAUGGAGGUGAUGACAGGAAGGCACCCAGGCGAUCUCAUUUCAGCACUCUUAUCACCAGGAUCUUCGUCGUCGUCAUCGAUGCCACCGAUUGCUCAACAUGCACUAUUGAAGGAUGUGUUAGACCAACGCAUCUCGCUUCCUAAAAAAGAAGCAGCAGAGGGCGUUGUCCACAUGAUGAAAAUUGCGCUUGCAUGCUUGCAUCCCAAUCCCCAAUCUCGGCCUACAAUGGAAAAAAUUUCUUUCGAGCUUACAACUAAGUGGCCUCCAUUGCCAAAGGCAUUUUGCACAAUAAGUUUGGGAGAUCUCUUCUCAUAGUGUAUAGCUAUCUACUUCUAUUCGAGUAUCAACUGGAACAAUAAUUUUCUGUAAUAUGAAUUUUAUUAUCGAACUUUUUUUCUUUCGAAUUAUGUUUUAUGCAUUAGAAUUUGUUUUUCUUUUCAUGAAGGGUUUGAGAAUAUUAUUUUGAUUUUAAAUUGAAGACGUAGACUAUCGAUAAAGGCUACCAUUCAACCAUGAUGAGUAGGAUUGAACAUUCAAUAAUACCAUUCAAUGUAUUGUUUUUAAAACAUACAUUGAAUAAAAGUAGAAAAAUAAAUAAAAUAAUAUUAAAUCAAACCAAAUAUAAAAUAAAUAAAUUAAAUUAAUAUAAAAAUACAUUCAAAUACAUUAAAUCUAAAAUAGAGGCGGCACUGGAGGAGUAGGACUAGGCUAGUCGUCACCGGGAUCCAAGAAAAAAAUAAUCAGAAUUUCUGUUUAGGAUGUUUCAAGAAUAGUUUAAAUGUUUUUUAUAAAAACUAUUUAUAACAAAAUAAUUAGAAUUUUUAUUUAAGAUACUAGAGGUUAAUUAAAAAAAAUUAUAAAUUGUUUUUAUCUAAAGAAGGCAGCAACCAAUGAAUUUCCAACUUGAUGUUGAAUUUUCUAAUGAAAUGAAUUUCCAUCAUUUCAUUAAAAUUCAAACCCAAAGAACAAUUUAUUGGUUGGUGAAACUUUCAUUGUGGAAUCUUGCAGAUAAUUGUCGUCACCCAAUACAAGGAGACAGACUAUCGAUGAAGGCUACAAUUCAACCAUGAUGAGCAGGAUUGAAGCUUCAAUAAUACCAUUCAAUGUAUUUUUAAAAACAAAUACAUUGAAUAAAAGUACAAAAAUAAAUAAAAUAAUAUAAAAUCAAAUCAAAUAUAAAUUAAAUUAAUUAAAUUAAUAUAAAAAAUACAUCAAAUACAUUAAAUCUAAAAUAGAGACGGCACUGGAGGAGUAGGAUGAGGCUAGUCGUUGCCGUGAUCUAAAAAAAAUAAUCAGAAUUUCUGUUUAAGAUAUUUUAAGAAUAGUUUAAAUGUUUUUUUUAUAUAAAAAAAUAAUUAGAAUUUUUGUUUAAAAUCCUUCAAGGAUAGUUUAAAUUGUUUUUAUAAAAAAUAAAAAAAAACAUUUAUAAAAAACUUAUUUAGGAUAGUUCAAGUCUAGUUUAAAUAUUUUUUUAAAAAAAUAAAAAACAUUAUAAAAAAAUAAUUAGAAUUUCUGUUUAGGAUACUUGAAUGGUAGUUUAAUUUUUUUUUUAAUAAAAAGUAGAAAAAAAUUAUAAAAAAAAUUAUUUAUGAUAUUUCAAUGAUAGUUUUAAUAUUUUUUAAUAGAAAACAUUUAUAAGAAAAAAUUAAUAAGCAUUUUUGUUUAAAACACUUGAAGGGCAGUUUAAAUAUUUUUUAAAAAAAUAAAAGAAAAUAAUUAGAAUUUGUUUUAAUAUACUUCAAGGGUAGUUUAAAUGUUUUUUUUUUAUAUAAAAACUAAAAAAUAUUUAUAAAAAUAAUAAUUAGCAUUUCAGUUUAAGAUACUUUAACGGUAGUUUCAAUGUAUUUUUUGAUAAUAAAUAAAACUAAUUAUAAAAAAAUAAUAAUUAGGAUUUCUAUUUAGGAUACUUAAAGGAUAAUUUAAAUAGUUUUUAUAAAAAUAAAAAUAUUUAUAAAAAACAUUAAUUAACAUUUUUGUUAAAAGUUUUUCCUAUAAAAAAUAAAAACAAUUAUAAAAAAAUUAAUUAGCAUUUCAGUUUAGGAUACUUCAAGGGUAGUUUAAAUAUUGUUUUUAUAACAAAUAAAAACAUUUAUAAAAAACAUUAAUUAGGAUUUUUGUUUAGAUUUAUUCAAGGAUAGUUGAAAUUAUUUUAUAAAAAAUAGAAAAUAUUUAUAAAAACCAUUAUUUAGGAUAUUUCAAUUCUACUUUAAUUUUUUUUUUAGAAAAUAUAUAUAAAAAACUAAUUAUUAUUUCUGUUUAUGAUACUUGAAGGGUGGUUUAAAUUUUUUAUUAAUAAAAAAUAAUAUAUAUAUAUAUAUAUAUAUAUAUAAUUAAUUAACAUUUCCAUUUAAUAUAUUUCAAGGGUAGUUUAAAUGCGUAAAACAAUUAAUGAAAAUUUUUAUUUAAAAUACUGGAAGGAUAGUUUAAAUAUUUUUUUCAUAAAAAUAAAAAACAAUUAUAAAAAAAUAGUCUUGUAUUUCCACCAGACCCAGGUCGUUUAAGUCUAGGAAUAUUGUCAAAUUUUAAAAACUUAAAAUAUUUUUUUUAAAAAAUUAAUAUUAACCUGUUGUAGAACGAAUAAACUAUUCCAGUAACAACUCAAGGACACACGCAAUGCAAAUUCUUUUAGAGAAGAUGUGAUAGGCCACUUCGAAGAGCUGCACCCUCUCCCCUCCCCUUGCUCGAAUAAGUAACUGCUCUACAUGGUACCACACAUUCCCAUUAGAUACUUUUUUGGGGCUAAAUCUGACGACCACCUCCUAUGUAUUUCUUAGGACUUCUAGGAGAGAGGCAUGAGGAGAAGGAAAAAUCAAAAGAAUCUCUCUACAUGGUUUGCAAACGUACUGUCAAUGGUUGUGACUUUACAGAAGAUCCUUAUGAGAAUGUCAUAUGGGAGUUGCUGAUAUGUGACAAUGACAAUGCAAGCGAUCAUUUUUCAACAUGAAGGGGUGUAGUGACUUUUUGGCACUCUUGAGCUUGUGACACGAUUUUUCCUUGCUAUUAGCUAUAUGUUAAUGACAUUUCAACCUUCAACCAAGCGCCACAUUAAUUACUCCCAGGGUCCCAUGAGAAAAUAGAACUUGAACAUCUAUUAGCUACAGAUUUACUGAGACAUGUAAAUCCAGUGCUGGUCAUGAGCUGUAGUUAUGAGAUUUUUUAAAUUUUAAACAAAAGAUUUAACUCUGUCCCUAUGGUGGUCUAACCUCUGUGUGUGUUUUUGCUUUCAAGUACAUAAGUGCACAUUUAAGUCAGAUUAGUAGACACACUUAACUUAUUUAUGUCUGGAUUCACAAACUUGUGUAUUAACAUCUGAUUCAAUAUUGGAAUCUAAAUUGAUAGCUAUGGGCUGCGAGUUCUGUAUUUUAUAAACAGUUCACUUCUUUUAGGUGAAGACUCAAGAAUCUGUUACCUACUGCAUAUGGAGUGAAUAUUUGAUGCGGAAAUUUUCAUUUUCAUUUAGAAAUUUAUUGAAUUGUGGUCUUGUACAUUUUUUUUCCUGAUGCAGCAAGAUUGUAGGACUGACUAGGUAAUUGUUAUCCUUUUUAGGCAUACACGUCCAGGUUCCUUAAAACCUUAUGUGCAUGAAGGCGUACGAGAUACAUCUCUUCCAAAUACAUUUGUAGUAGAUAUUGGUCAACUUGUCAACGCUGACAUUGUAUUGACAACAUAUGAUGUGCUUAAAGAGGACCUCUCGCAUGACUCUGAUAGGCAUGAAGGCGAUAGGCACAUCCUGAGAUUCCAGAAGAGGUUCUUACAAACUCUGUAGUUGUUGUUUUUUGAUAAAGUGACCUUUAUUUUUUCUCAAUAUUUGCUGCUUGUGUUUUAGAAUGGGGUGAAUUUGCACAAAUGUUUUAUAGCUUAUAUUAUAUCUUUCUACAAAAUUUUUAUCUGUAGCUUGCAGUUGUGGUUGAAGUUUAGUUGUUAAACAUGUCUUACAAACGGUAUUUUGCAUCGACGUCUGCUAUGGUAUUGCUAGAUUGAAUUCGUUUUUUUAAUAGUCUAUUGAAGUUUUAAAGAUUUGAACUUUCUUCAAUGCUUCAUUUCAGGUAUGUUAGUCAACUGCCUGUUUACUUUGAUGUUUGACUAUUUAGUACGUUGAAGAAGGGGGAGAGGGGAUUCACUGUGAUCACAUUUUUAUAUUUGUUUGACAGGAAUAUGAGGCAAGGUUAUUUCGUCUUAACAAAUUACAUGGAGGCAUUAUUACAUCUGCUGAAGAGGCAGUGAAUCUGCAAAAAAGGAACUCAGAGAGAAAUCGUUACUACUGGAAUUUAGACCGCCAAAAGAAAAAUUUACUGGCAUCUAGUGAUUUUAAUGAAGAAUCGAAGAAAAGAAAGAUUGAGAAACAGUGAUGGUAAGUUUCCUUUAUAAUCCUUGGGGCACAGCACAUGCAGGGAGGGGCAGUAGCUUAAGAAUUAUUAAACUUACUGGAUACCGAGUGAAACUCUUGUUGAAAGCUAAGCUGAUUACUUGUGAUUGAAGUCUUAGAAGAAGAUUACGCAGACUAUAGCAAGAAGGAUGAAGAAAUGGAAGAAAUUCUGUUAAAUCGGUUAAGAAGGCAGUUAAAACCGUUAUGGCAAUUAUAGUCGUUUUUUCUGUUACAAAACUGUUACAUACAUAUUAACUUGUAAAAUCACUAAUCAACUUGUGACUUUGACAACAAUGAGUCAGAUGUGCCCAAAUGACUUCGAAAGGUUUCAACUUCACAAACCAAUCUCAUAAACAAAGAAACCAAUGAAUUCCUUUUUAGAGCAAUGAAAAGGCUUCUUGAAAAACCUUCUUUUUAUAAAAAAAUGAAGUCUGUGUGAGCAUUAGGUUCUGAUGGCAAGCAAGUUGAACCAUGAGGUACACGACUGUGUGAGCUCGAGAUCAAGACUCAGAUUCUGUAACUGUAAAUGAUGCAUCCCCAGCACAAUUCUGGGCUUCUAGUAACUUUGCCUUGCCUUCUUCGUGUUCUCUUUCACAUUGACUAAUCCCCAUUAUAAUAUCAAGCAUUGUACCUGUUGUACCAAAGAACACAAGGGGUCCAAAUGAUUUUCGUUUUAUCAUCGCAAGCAAAGCUCCGGCAACUGAGAAAACCCUGUACCUAGUGCGCUGCAGAUAUAGAUCAUUCAGUAGUUAUCAUCAUAGUUUUGUUCGGAACAACAGGUCAAUGAAUAAAGAAGGAGAAGAUAAUUUACGCGCACAUAUUAUUUGCAUAAAUAUUUUUCAAGUGUAAGUGUUGUUUGAGGGACAUGGCCUUCUAGAAUGAAACUUGGUGUUCUCAAUCGAAGUCAAAGACCAAAACCAAAUCAGAAACAAGACACAAAUCUGUUCAUGAGUACAAUACUAGAUAUGGUUAGGAUAGCAGUGUGACAAUAUUCGUCGGUAAUUCGGUCGGUAAUUACCGACGGAAUACGUCCGUCGGUAAUUACCGACCGAAUUACCGACAGAAAAUUCAGAAUUAAUGAAAAAAGGGCGGGUAGAUGGCGCCAAGGUUUUGGCGGGUGAUUUUGCCGACGGAAUCACCGACGAAAUUAAAACCUGGGGCCCGUACGCGUGAUGGGACCUGUUUACCGUCAACAAUACCGACGGAAUCACCGACGUAUUUGAAAUGCCAGAUCCAUACCGGUGACGUGACCGGUGCACCGUUAAAAAUACCGACGGAAUCACCGAGGGAUUUGAAUAGCAAGUCCGUGCGGUGACGUGUCGGAUUUGAAUAAAACCGUCGGUAAUUCCGUCGGCAAAAGUGAAUAUAUGCCCACUCUGCCGACACUCUCCUCCCCCAUUUCUCCUUCUUCUUCCUAAUCCUAACCCUCCCCAUCUGCAAAUAACCAGCCCCCCCUCGCCCCAAAACAAAAAUCAUCCUCAUCUCAGCACAACAAGUUGUAUUUCUUGAAGUUUUGUGGUCACACAUCCGUGUUCUGAUUUACCGGGAUUUUAUCAUUUUUUGUAAGUAAUUCUAUCUUUUAAAAUUUUAACAUUUAAAUGUCAAUUUUAUUGUUUUUUUAGUAUAUGUAUUUUUUUUGUAGAUGUACAUGUUUUAUUGUUAUUUCUCAAACAAACUUGUAGUAUAUGAAUGUAUAAUUUUAUACUUGUUAUGGUUUGUUUUAGAUUUUGUAAGAUUGUAUUUGUUUGAAAUUGUUAAAACUUAAUUUGUAGAAUUACCGAAUUACAUGUUAUGUUUUGAAAUAAUUAAGAGCUUGCUUAAUGGGUCCUUUUUAUAGAGGUUCGAUAGAAGUCAUGGAUGAUCGUUCAUGGAUGUAUCUAGAUUCACCCCAAGGAUUGCGGAGGAUGGAUUAUUGUAACGGGGUUCAGGGUUUUAUUAAUUUCGCAACAUCUAUUCCCAGAAAUUUUACUGGAGGCGGUAUUAGGUGUCCAUGCAGGAAGUGUCAAAAUAAAAAGUAUCUGCAUCCAGAUGUUGUAAUGAUGCAUCUUCUACACAAAGGGUUUGUGGAGGAUUACGAGUGUUGGUAUGCACAUGGAGAGGUAUUUGUUAGUAAUAGGAGAAUGGGAGAAACGGUGGUUGGGUCAACUUCUAGUGCUAGCAACGUGCAUGAAGCGGCAAAUGACAACACUAAUCCUUACAGAAACAUGGUUAUGGAUGCAAUGAGAAUGAAUCAAGAUAAUGUCAAUCAAUGUCCAAUCGUAGAAGAAGAACCUAAUGCAGAGGCAGCUAGGUUUUUUGAUUUGUUGAAAGAUUCUGACGAACCAUUAUGGGAUGGCUGCACAAACCACAGUAAAUUAUCGGCCGUGGCACAGGUGUUCACCAUCAAGUCAGAUCACGGGUUGAGUGAGGCCGGGUAUGACAAAAUUAUUGAUUGGGCAAGAAGCAUUUUACCUGAAGGGAACAGGCUCAAAGAGAACUUCUAUGCUGCGAAGUCCAUGAUGAAACCCCUCGGUUUAGGAUACCAGAAAAUUGACAUGUGCCCUAACUUCUGCAUGUUAUACUACCUUGAAAAUGCUAGAUGACCGAGUGCAUGACAUGCGGGCAUUCCCGUUACAAACCCAGAACUGGCAGGGGAAGACUCUAGUGGCAUAUAAAAAACUUAGAUAUUUCCCGAUCACACCUAGACUGCAGAGGUUAUUUAUGUCACCAAGGACUGCUGAGCACAUGACAUGGCACCAAACACACGAUGUCGUUGAUGGUGUGAUGGUGCAUCCUUCUGACGGCGAAGCGUGGAAACGCUUUAACAGUGUUCAUCCUGACUUUUCUGCUGAAUCAAGGAAUGUUCGACUUGGGUUGUGUACAGACGGGUUCAACCCAUUUGGGUCAUUUGCUGCUCCCUAUUCUUGUUGGCCGGUCAUUCUCACAGUUUAUAACUUGCCACCGGGAAUGUGUAUGAGGCCGGAGUUCAUGUUUCUAUCUACUGUCAUACCCGGUCCAAGCAGCCCGGGGCGGAAUAUAGAUGUUUGUCUUCGACCGUUGAUAGAUGAGCUGGCGCAGUUGUGGUCCUCCGGAUCUCUGACUUAUGAUAUAUCGAGGAAACAAAAUUUCCUUAUGAGGGCGGCUUUGAUGUGGACUAUCAGUGAUUUUCCAGCUUAUGGAAUGCUUUCUGGUUGGAGCACGCAUGGGAAACUCGCAUGUCCAUACUGCAUGGAAAACAACAAGGCAUUCACGCUAGCAAACGGAGGUAAAGCUUCUUUUUUUGACUGUCACCGUCGCUUCUUGCCACUUAAUCACAGGUUCAGAAAGAACAGAAAAGAUUUCUUUGUUGGUAGAGUUGAAAAAGAUGUUGCAUCCCCGCGUCUUUCUGGUGAAGAAUUGCAUCAUGUUGUAUCAGAGUACGGUGACAUUGUGUUUGGCCUUCAAUCAGGUAAGCAAAAGUUUCCUGGUUUUGGUUUGACCCAUAAUUGGGUAAAGCGAAGUAUCUUUUGGGAGCUUCCGUAUUGGAAGACUAAUCUUCUCCGCCAUAACCUUGACGUCAUGCACAUCGAAAAGAACGUGUUUGAGAAUAUUUUCAACACCGUCAUGGAUGUGAAGGGGAAGACAAAGGACAACAUGAAGGCUAGAUUGGAUAUAGCUUUAUACUGUAACCGUAAAAAUAUGGAGUUGGUUUAUGACGAGUCACGGGUUGCAAAACCAAGGGCAAGCUUCGUGUUAGAGAAAAACGCACAACUGCUAGUCUACAAAUGGCUUAAGAGUCUGCGUUUCCCGGAUGGACAUGCAUCGAACAUAUCAAGGCUUGUUAACAUAGAGGACUGCAGAUUGUAUGGAAUGAAGAGCAUGACUGCCACGUGUUUAUGCAAACACUCAUCCCAUUAGCUUUUCGUGAUUUGUUGCCAAAGGGAAUAUGGGAUGCACUAACGGAGAUCAGUCAUUUCUUCAGAGAUAUAUGCUCCAGCAAGAUGAAUGUUGAGCACAUUGAGAUGCUUCAAACGAAUAUCAUCGAGACACUAUGCAAACUUGAGAUGAUAUUCCCUCCUUCAUUUUUUGACUCAAUGGAGCAUCUCCCUAUACAUCUACCGUUCGAGGCAAAAGCUGGAGGACCGGUCCAGUAUAGAUGGAUGUACCCAUUCGAACGGUGAGAUAUUACAGUUGCAAUGGAAUUCAUAUCUUAAAGUAUUUUCUAUGUUUUUCUUAUUUGAAAAUACUUGAAUUGUACUUCAAUGCAGGUACUUGUUUAAUCUAAAAAAAAAGGUUAAGAACAAGGCGCAUGUUGAGGCUUCGAUAUCUGAGGCCUAUAUUGUUGAAGAGAUAUCAACAUUUAUCUCGUACUAUUUCGAACCUCAUCUGAGAACAAGAAUCAAUCGCGUUCCACGGCAUGACGAUGGCGGUGAAGUGCCUUCCAGUGGGAACUUGUCAAUAUUCUCCAAUACUGGACGACCCACACCUAAAAAUGCCGUAAGAGGAAGAUAUUUGUCGGAAAUAGAAUUCAAACAAGCACACAACUAUGUUCUAUUUAACUGUGAUGAGCUGAGACCAUUUAUUCAGUAAGUCUAUAUAUGUGUAAUACUAAUUAAACUUUGUCAGUAAUAUACUGUUAAUUAUAUAUUGUAAUAUCAUACACUCAUUAUCACUUGCAGGCAACAUCGACAAUAUUUGCUCUCCAAUAACUCGCAGCUGACCGAAUCCCAGAUCUUUCAAUUACAAGAUGAACAAUUUGCCACAUGGUUCAGAACACAUGUAAGCACUAUCACAAACUCAUUCUAACGUAUGCAUGUCAUUACGAGAUUCUCGUUCAUUUACCGUGUAUUGAUGUACAUUUAAUUACAUAUAUUUACAAGGUUUAUCAAAUGGGAAGGAGUGCGCCCAAGUCAUUGUCUUCACUAAGCCUCGGCCCUGAAAGAAAAGUUAAGUGCUACAACGGGUAUUUUGUCAAUGGAUAUGUUUUCCAUACUGAAGAAUACGGGCAAGGAAGAAAGACAUACAACUGCGGUGUUUGUGUUAAGGGAUCCACAAGUAGCCAGUUAGAAGUUGACUACUAUGGUAGAUUAGAAGAGGUCGUCGAACUGCAAUAUCAUAGCGAGCAGAAUAAAGUGUUUUUAUUCAAAUGCUAUUGGUAUGACACGACGGACAGAGGAAUCAGAGUUGAUCCGCACCAUGGUCUGGUCGAAAUCAACUCAAAAGCUAGACUCCGCAACAUAAACGAUGUCUUUGUUUUCGCAAAGCAAUGUCAACAAGUUUAUUACACAUACACCCCUUCAUUUAGAAAGGAUCGUUCAAGAGUUGAUUGGUUGUCCGUUUUAAAAACAAAACCACGGGGUCGUGUCGAGGUUGUUCAGGAUGAGAACGAAGACACAAGUGUGCGAGAUGAAGUCUUUCAAGUUCGUGAGUUGGUUGAACCAUAUCGAGUUGCUCCUUCGAUUGAAUUGGAAGAAAAUUCAAAUUUUCGAGUUCUCGAUGAUAGUUUUGUUGAUAUUGACGGAGAGGAGUUGAAUGUUGUUCUCAGCUCUAGCGAACAACCAAAUGUCGAUGAAGAAGAUGAUAUCCAUAUUGAAGAUUGCGAUGAAGAUGAUGACAAUUCAAUUGAUGAGGAAGAAGAAGAAAAUUCCGACUAAUUAUGACAAUGAAGCCCUAUGUAAAAACAUUUGUCUCAUGUAAUUUAGAUUACGGAUGAUGUAUUUUGUAAAACAAAAUAUUUACUGUUUAAGCAAUGUGGUUAUUGUUUUAUGUGAUGGACAGUUUAUUAGUUAAGUUUUUGCAGGAAGGUAAACAGGCAAUACAAAGACAUAUUUUGUAGGGAAGGUGCUCGUCGAUAAUGGCUUGUCUCUUAAUGUGUUGCCAAAGCAUAUUCUGAAAGAAAUGUCGAUCGAUGCAUCUCAUAUGAAGCCAAGUACCAUGAUGGCCAGAGCAUAUGACUGCUCACCUCGACCAAUAAUGGGGACUUUAGAAGUGGAGCUAUAUGUGGGGCCGCAAAUGUUCUUAAUAACAUUUCAAGUUAUGGAUAUCCACCCUUCCUAUAGUAUGUUGUUAGGGAGACCUUGGAUCCAUGCGGCUGGGGCGGUAACUUCAUCAUUACACCAAUGCUUGAAGUAUAUCAUGAACGGGAUGUUGGUGACUGUCAAAGUUGAGGAAACAAUAUCCAUGAUAAAGAAUGUGGCCAUACCUUUCAUUGAAGUGGAAGAUUGUAAGGAUGAUAAUAUCCAUGCUUUUGAGAUUGUAAACACUGACUGGGUACCUGAAAAUACAGUACUAAAAAAGCCAAAGAUCUCAGAAGCAGCAAGGAUGCAGCUCAAUGCUUUUUGGAACGUGGGAUCCCCUUUCUGUAUAAUCUUAUCACUAAGGUACCAAAAGGGGCUAACCCGACAAAGAUGAAAUGUGCUGAUCAAUGAUUUGGGCUGGGGUAUAAACCUACAAAAGAGGAUCAUCGAUGGGCUGCUAGUCAGAGAAGGGAAAGAAGAGUGGCUAGGAUUGAAGGGAGAGAGCCUGAAGAAGAGAAGCUUGAAAUCCCUCCCCUUAGAGUGACAUUCCCAAAAGUUGCAUAUGUAAUGCAACCCGAUAAAGGAGCAGAAAGCCUUGGUCAACAACUAUCAAAUAUGAGCAUAAACACCUUGGAGGAGGAUGAAGUGAAGGAGGUGACAUGAAGACGGUAGCAGGAAGGAAGGAUGAAGCACUGCCACAACUGACUAUCUACACCCUAGAAGAAGUCUCUGCUAAGACCUUCAUCCGAAAGCUAGCCGAUGGCGAGAAGUUUCAAAACUGGGUGACUCAAGAAGCCCUAGUGGUGUUUAAAAUGUAAGCCAACUUGGUCUGCUUUAACAUGCUUUUGUUUGCUUUAUUCUCCCUAGUUGACAAUCAAGGCUCAUGAUGUCAAUUAGAUUUUGUCGUUGUCUUUGAGCCCACCUUUUGUGUGAAAUAAUGAGAUCAUGCGUUUUCCAAAUUUGUCCCUUUAUCUGUGCAUUUACACCAACACUUUCCGCUUUCAGGAACCCUGAAAGCGGAUCUUCCACAACAUCACAUACACUUAGCAUCGAGAAUGAAUGACCAAACUUUAACGAACAUGUUAUCACCAUGGAAGAAGAAGAAUGGGAUGAAAGCAAUGUUAAGGAAUUUACAAAGUUAGUAGAGCAAUAUGAACAAACCUGGGAACCAGUUGCGGAAGAACUAGAAACCAUAAACGUGGGUAAUGAUCAGAUUAAAAGAGAAUUGAAAAUAGGGACCUUAAUCGCUCCUGAGGAAAGAGUAAAAAUAAUGGCCCUCUUACAAGAAUAUGUAGAUGUUUUCGCUUGGUCCUCCAAGGAUAUGCCUGGUUUGGAUAGAAAUAUCGUCGUGCAUAAGAUACCGCUAGAGAUAGGUUGCAAGCCAGUCAAGCAGAAGUUGAGGAGAGCUCACCCGGAUGUUUGGAUCAAAGUUAAGACAGAACUUGAAAAACAAUGGAAUGCAGGCUUUCUAGAAGUAGUCAAGUAUCCACAAUGGGUAUCCAACAUUGUUGUUGUACCAAAAAAAGAGGGAAAGAUUAGAGUUUGUGUGGACUUCCGAAAUUUGAAUAAAGCUAGCCCUAAGGAUGAUUUUCCGCUGCCACAUAUAGAUGUUUUGGUGGACAAUGCUGCACGUAGUUCCACAUAUUCCUUUAUGGAUGGUUUCUCGGGAUACAACCAGAUAAAGAUGGCUCUAGAAGAUAAGGCAAAAACGACUUUUGUUACACCGUGGGGAACUUAUUGCUACAAGGUUAUGCCAUUUGGUCUGAAGAAUGCAGGAGCCACUUAUCAGAGAGCCAUGGUGACUUUAUUCCAUGAUAUGAUGCACAAGGAAAUUGAGGUGUAUGUAGAUGAUAUGAUUGCCAAGUCCAAGAGGGAGACGACCAUGUAAAGGUUUUGAGAAAGUUAUUUGAGCGUUUGAGGAAAUAUGAACUGAAGCUCAACCCUGCCAAAUGUUCGUUUGGAGUUAAGUCUGGAAAGUUGCUCGGAUUCGUGGUAAGUGAUAAAGGUAUAGAGGUAGAUCCUGAUAAGGUGAAAGCCAUCCAAUCCAUGCCAUCCCCAAAGACGGAGAAGGAGGUGAGGGGAUUCUUGGGAAGAUUGAACUAUAUUGCCAGAUUUAUAGCUCAGCUAACCACAACGUGUGAACCUGUCUUCCGGCUACUGAGGAAAAAGAAUCCUGGGAUUUAGAAUGAGGAGUGCGAGGAGGCAUUGAAUAAAAUCAAGCAAUAUUUACAAAGUCCGCCUUUACUUGUUCCUCCUGUAUCAGGAAGACCUUUAAUAUUGUAUUUGGCAGUAACUGAAACAACUAUGGGGUGUGUAUUGGGUCAGCAUGAUGAAACUAGAAGGAAAGAAAGGGUCAUUUAUUACCUUAGUAAGAAGUUCACCGAAUGUGAGUCUAGAUACAUGGUGAUAGAGAAACUCUAUUGUGCAUUGGUAUGGGCGACAAAAAGAUUACGACAUUACAUGUUGGAUCACACCACUUUGUUGAUUUCAAAAGUGGAUCCACUAAGGUACAUCUGUGACAAGCCCUAUCUCUCAAGCUAAAUUCCAAGGUCGCAAGUUUUGUUGUCAGAAUAUGACAUAGUAUAUACGACAAGGAAAGCCGUGAAAGGGAGCGCCAUUGCAGACCCCUUGGCUGAUAAUGCUGUGGAAGAUUAUGAGCCAUUAGAUUUUGAUUUCCCUGAUGAAAAUGUAUUAUCAGUAGCGGGAGAAGAAAAGAAGAUAGAUUGGUGGACCAUGUUUUUUGACGGAGCAGUAAAUGUUUAUGGCAAUGGGGCCGGUACGGUGAUCAUCUCUCCUAACCAGAAACAAUAUCCAGUUUCAGUUAAAUUGUAUUUUGAAUGUACCAACAAUACUGCAGAAUAUGAGGCUUGUAUCUUGGGUUUAGAAGCUGCAUUAGAGUUGAAGAUCAGAAAGAUAGAUGUAUAUGGGGACUCAAUGUUGAUUAUCUGUCAGGUGAAAGGAGAGUGGCAAACAAAGGAAGAAAAAUUGAGGUCGUACCAGGAAUAUCUAUCCACACUGUUAGAAGAAUUCGAAGAGAUAAGGUUCACCCAUCUAGGAAGAGAAGGGAACCAUUUUGCGGAUGCUUUGGCCACGUUAGCUGCUAUGGCUACAAUUGAUCUCGGGCAUAAGGUACAUCCCGUACACAUAGACAUCAGAAAUAACCCAGCUCAUUGCUGCUCAGUUGAAGGAGAGGUAGAUGGAAAGCCUUGGUACUACGAUAUCAAGAAUUUGGUGCAAAAUCAGGAAUAUCCAGUGGGAGCUUCGAAGAUGGAUAAGAAAACCCUAAGAAGGUUGGCCAUGGAUUUCUACCUGGACGGAGAGAUUCUGUAUAAAAGAUCAUUUGACGGAACUUUGCUAAGGUGUUUGAAUGAGACAGAUGCUAAAAAUGCUUUACGGGAGGUGCAUGAAGGGAUUUGCUCAACUCAUGCUAACGGGCAUAUGGUAGCAAGGAAGAUACAAAGGGCCGGUUACUUCUGGAUGACAUUAGAAAAAGACUGCAUCGACUAUGUCAGGAAAUGUCACAAGUGUUAGGUGCAUAGUGAUAAGGUCAAUGCACCUCCAACUCCUCUGAUUAACCUAGCAUCUCCUUGGCCAUUUGCGAUGUGGGGGAUUGAUGUGAUUGGACCCGUUAACCCAAAAGCCAGCAAUGGGCAUAGAUUCAUCCUCGUAGCUAUUGACUACUUCACGAAAUGGGUAAAAGUCAGUUCGUAUGCUCAUGUAACAUAGAAAGUGGUGAAGAAGUUUAUAGAAAAAGACUUGAUUUGUCGCUAUGGUCCACCAGAAAAGAUAGUGACCGAUAAUGCACAGAAUUUCAACAGCAAAAUGAUCGUGGAGCUUUGCACCAAGUGUAAAAUCAAGCAUUCAAAUUCCUCACCAUAUAGGCCCAAGAUGAAUGGUGUCAUGGAGCAGCCAACAAGAACAUCAAGAAAAUUAUUCAGAAGAUGGUAAUCACUUACAAGGAUUGACAUGAGAUGUUGCCAUUCGCUCUCCAUGCAUAUCGCACUGCCGUAAGGACCUCGAUAGGAACUACUCCGUAUGCUCUGGUAUAUGGAAUGGAGGCGGUGAUGCCUUUGGAAGUAGAAAUACCUUCGUUGAGGGUGUUAAUGGAUUCGGGAUUAGAAGAAGCUGAAUGGGCCAAAGUAAGAUAUGAACAGUUAAACCUGAUCAGUGAAAAGAGGUUGGUUGCAAUCUGUCACCACCAACUUUACCAGAAGAGGAUGGCCAAGGCAUACGACAAGAAGGUUCGACCUCGCAUGUUCCAAGAAGGAGAUCUAGUGCUGAAGAAACUAUUGGCUUUACCAGGAGAAGAUCGAAGCAAAUGGGCCCCAAAUUAUGAAGGUCCUUAUAUAGUGAAGAAGGCUUUCUCAGGAGGAGCUUUGAAGUUGUCCAGAAUGGAUGGAGAAGAUCUAGCUAGACCUGUGAAUUCUGAUUCUGUAAAGAGAUAUUAUGUCUAAUGUGUUCAGCUUUCUCCUAAAAUCAAUAAAGCAAGUUUGGCCAUGAUUUCUUUGUGUAAAGAACCCCUUUUUCAUUGCAUGGAUCUCACAGUGCGUAAUUUGUUUAUUUCCGAAAAAAAAUCUUGAAAGAAUCGGUUUUGUGCAUGAUUACAAGGAAUAUAUCAUAAAACGCUCAAAAAUGAAAUUUAAGCUCUUCCUAGUAAAGAGGUGACCCUUGUCCCUGAUAGCAUUGUCCAUAUGAUGAAACCUUGUCCCUGAUAGCAUUUUGAAUCGUAUGGAUAAAUGGUUAGGUAAUUAUCUUCGUAAUCACUCGCAUGUUCCUUCCAAGAUAAGAACAAGGUUUAUCAAUCCUAAUAAUGUGUGUUUUGAAAUGAGGAAAGGCCAUCUUUGUCAUCCCUUCACUUUCUAAAGUUUUUAUCCUUUGUAGUCCCCAUUUGAGCCGAAUUGAGUUUCUUCUUUAUGAGAACCCGACUAAGACCACACCUUACACUGGGGCCAAUAAGAGAUCUUUGGUUAAGGAUGAAAACAAUGGUAGAAAAAAGGAAAGGGGUAAAGAAUGGAAGCCCCAAAAAUUGAGAAGAGGAUAAGAAGAAAAAGGAGAAGGAAUUAGAGCAAAUUACGGGAAAAAAUAAAAUAAAACAAUGAAAAGGGAGAGAAAGAGAAGAGGACUUAAUAUUUGAAAGUAUAGAACCCCACAAUUGGGGGCAGUCCCAUAAAAAGAAAAAGAAAGAAGAUGAUGGUUUGAUAAUGCUUGAAGACUAAGAGGAGGAUCCUUAAGCAGGCCUCUCCAAAUGCAACCUAUGAGUCAGUUUAAAAAAAAAAAGUGGUUUUAAGUCCUUAAACCCUCAAACACUGUUGAGCCUUAAAGCAUCCUUUUCUUUCAUAUCCCAUAGACGUAGCCUACAUUACAAGCAUUCAGAAGUCCUUUCUAAUCAAGCGCACAUAACUUGGGUUAAUAAACUGUGGUCUCAUAACUCACGGGAUUUAACAAAUGAGUGAUAAUCCACUUUUAGGAAACAUUUCCCUUUUCUACACAGCCUCUUCACAUAGAUACAGAUGCUUAAACCUUAAACAGAAGGCCACCUUGGAUAAAAGCCUUGGCUUAAAGACAAACCGCAUUCCAGAAACCAAAAUAGGAUUUGCUUAAAAGAGUUUUCGAUGCAUGUUUUGAAGGUUCCGGUUGUCAUGUACAAAUUCAAGUCUUUUGAAGGAUUUUUUUGGAAACGAUUUUGUUGCGUGUUGGAACGAAAACCAAAAAGCCUUUAAUUCGAGAAAAACAAAUUAAAGCACUGAUAAGAGCAUGUAAGAAGCAAUGACAAAUCAUGCAUUUUAGAAAAAGGGUCACCUAAUGACAAGGUUGGGGAUCUUCUUCCCUAGGAUGAGAUGGAAAGAAGAGACUCGAUGGGAAAGGAAUCCAGCAUGCCAUUUCGAGCACAUGAACAAGGUCGUAUCAAGAGAGAGUGUCAGAAAUUGAAGGAAGUGAUGGGACCUAUGUUUCCAAAACAGGUAAGGAUGCAUGCAUGGCAUCCAACCACAAAGCAUUGCAUCAAACAUUUUUGUUGACUUGGUUACAAAAUAAUAAUAAUAAUAAUAAUUUGGGGACAAAGAAAGAAUUGUUGAUUUGGAGAACAACAAAGAAUCAUGGUUUUGACCCUGGAAUGGGAGGAAGAUGAGAUACACCCUAACAUUAGGGAAAUCUCAAAGAAAUAGGAAGAUCAAUGAAGAAGAAUCUUCAAUUCAAACCAUAUCAUCUUGAAGAAGGAACAUAUUUUGGUUAAAGAAGAUCGCCAGAAGGAAUCUCAAGUUAACCACAACAUGAAGAUUUCAGUUAUGGUUAAAGGGGAUUGGCGAAGGGAUCUCAGUUUAACCUAACUGGAAAGGAUUUUGGUUCUGAUUGAAGGGGAUCGGCGAAGGAAUCUCAGUUCAGUCUAACCACACAGACCUUGGUUAUGGUUAAAGGGGAUCGACGAAGGGAUCUCAGUUUAACCUAACUGGAAAGGAUUUUGUUUCUGAUUGAAGGGGAUCGACGAAGGGAUCUCAGUUCAGUCUAACCACACAGACCUUGGUUAUGGUUAAAGGGGAUCGACGAAGGGAUCUCAGUUUAACCUAACUGGAAAGGAUUUUGUUUCUGAUUGAAGGGGAUCGUUGAAGGGAUCUCAGUUCAGUCUAACUACACAGACUUUAGUUAUGGUUAAAGGGGAUCGGCGAAGGGAUCUCAGUUUAACCUAACUGGAAAGGAUUUUGGUUCUGAUUGAAGGGGAUCGGCGAAGGGAUCUCAGUUCAGUCUAACCACACAGACCUUGGUUAUGGUUAAAGGGGAUCGGCGAAGGGAUCUCAGUUUAACCUAAUUGAAAAGGAUUUUGGUUCUGGUUGAAGGGGAUCGGCGAAGGGAUCUCAGUUCAGUCUAACCGCACAGACUUUGGUUAUGGUUAAAUGGGAUCGGCGAAGGGAUCUUCGUUUAACCUAACUGCAAAGGAUUUUGGUUAUGGUUAAAGGAGAUUGGCGAAGGGAUCUCAGUUUAACCUAACUGCAAAGGAUUUUGGUUAUGGUUAAAAGGGAUCGGCGAAGGGAUCUCAGUUUAGCCUAGCCACACAAAGAUUUUAGUUCUGGUUGAAGAGAAUUGCUAUAAAUGCAGAGUUUCAGAUCAACCAAGUUAUGAGAAGAUCAGUUUUGGAAGUUUACUUUUGUUUAUCUUUACAAACUUACUUUGCAAAGUCCUUGCUUCGUAAGCAUUGUAAAGAGGGGGCAUCUGUUGUAACCCAUUUUUGGGUCCCCACAAUAAAAUAAAAUAAAUAGCCAAAGGAGGUUAGAAAAAUAACAGGGGGGGCAGAAGCACUCAGAAAAUGGUCGGAAAAUUGGUCAAGGAGGUUAAAAAUACAAAGAUUGGAUUUUUGACAUUAUAUUCUUGAAGGAUGAGAGCCCUGUUGAGAAGGAAAAUUUGAAUUUUGAGGAGAAAAACCCAAAUUUAGAUAUUUAUGGACUUAAUUGGAUUUUUAAUUGAAUUUAUAUGGGAUUUGAUUGCAAGAAAAAUUGAUUUUUAAGUCAAUUUGGGCUUUAAUUAGAAGAAAUUUAAGUUCUGGGGCCAAAAUAUAUUUUUUAGGAAUUUAUUAGGUCAAAUCAGGGGCUUAAUUGCAUACAUUUUGAAGUUUAAUUGGCCAAUUAGGGACUUAAUUGAGAAAAUCCAAAACCAGGGACCAAAUUGGAAGAGGUGCGUAAAUGGAGGGGCUGCAAAUUAUUCGGUUCAGGGGCCUAAUUGAAAAAAAUUGAAAGUUUAUUAAUCAAUUGAGGGCUCAAUUGCCUAAAUUAGAGACCAAGGACUAAAGUGAAAAACGCGGCCAACUAUAGGGGCAGGGACCAAAUUGGCAGGGAUGCAAUUGAAAAGAAAAAAAGAUGAUUAAGGGCUGAUUUGAAAAUUGGCGUGUUCUGGCGCCACAUUUAAAUGAAACGGCGUGUUUUCUCCAAAACGACGCCGUUUCAUACUUAAAAAAAAAAAAAAUUAAAGGCUGAACGGUGCCGUUUUGAACGGAACUGUUCCCCUUUCUUCCCCACCGAACAUACAACAGGAAAGAAGGAAAAAGAAUGCAUUAUUUAGUGUCACCGGUCCCUCUAGCCCACCGGCCAACCGGGGCCCCACGUCGUUGGACCACCGACCGAAGACAUUGGCCGACCACCCACCGCACCGCCGAAACUGAGGGAGGCACGCUUGGACAGCCAAGCCCCGACCAGCCGCCACGUGACCCGCUCCUUGGCUCCACAGUGAAAAGCCACGCUCACUGGCUCUAUAAAUGGAGGAGGAACGGCAGAAAGAAAGGGGACCGAGAGAGAGAAACCGAGGAGGAGAGACCGAGAGAGAGAAACCGACCGAGUAUAGAGAGAGAAACGACCGAAACCAAGAAACAGAAAAAAAAACCCAGGGAUAUCAACUGGGAAUCUGAGAGAGAGAGAGAAGGAGAGAAGGAAGAAAAGGAACAGAAGGGGAACCGGCAGGAGGAAGAAGCCACCGAUUGGCAUCUCUACACAGCGGAAGCGCCGCUGCUGUUACUGGGUUUCACCGUCACCGCCAUCGCAGCGCCACCGAGAACAGCCAUCCGCAUCACCGCCAGCUCAACCGGUCGAGAUCACCGCCUCAGGUACUUAAUUCAUCUCCACUUAGCCAUUGUUUUUUAUCUCCUUGCCUGCAGAACAUGCACUAUGCACGUUCUGCAUGCAAGGAGGAAAUAAUUAACCGGUUACUGUGCAUAAUAAAAAGUUUUUUAUUUUGCGAGCUGGAACAUCAGCCCAGCCCACGCGGUUGGGCUGAGUCCAGCCCCUUUUCGCUCUGGGCUGGAACAUCAACCCAGCCCACGCGGUUGGGCUGAGUCCACCCCUUUCUUUGACUUCGGGCUGGAACAUCAGCCCAGCCCAUGCGGCUGGGCUGAGUCCAGCCUUGUGGCUGGGCCAAUACAGGCAGGGCGUAUUUGGGGUGCUAAUACCUUCCCUUUAAGCAAUCAGUCUCCGUACCCGAUCUUUAAGACCAAUUAGGGUUCUUAGUGACCAAAAUAGUAGGUGGCGACUCUCAUUCCAUUUUUACCUCUAAGAGACAAAGAAUUCCUUGUCUCACCAUAUUUUCCAUGCCAGAUAGACAUACCACACCAAUGAUGAAAUGGUUGGUGGUGGGCGAUCGCCGCGACGCCGCACACGUGCGACAAUGUGUUCUAACAAAAUUUCUCCAUUUUCUUGUAUGAUGUUAUUAGGUUAAAGACACCGUGGAAGAGAGCAUAUAUAAACUGAACAGAAGUAGAAGCACCAGUUCAUUCAUAAGUGGGAACCCGAAGAAUCAGGAUCAGCCUGUGUUAACCCUUAAGGAUGUUGAGUCCCUAUUCGCAACAGUGCCGUCCACUUUACCAGAAAGUGAUGGAAAGCCAACUGAAAACCUAAGACAUCUGCCCCCGUCCGUGGCUGCUGCUCUAGCAGCUGAGAGGAGACUGGAGAAAAAUACAGCAGGAAUUUCCGUGUGAUAAUCAUUCUUUUCUUGAACACCAAACCUCAGAAUGGAAUUGCUGUUAAGCAAUCUUCUGGCUAUGUCAUCACUUCCAACAGGCAGCUGUUGUUUCAUCUUCAAAGGGGAGAGCGUCUCCCCGGUCCGUCAUAGAUUGUCAAACCAGAGGUUGCAUAGUCGUCUAUGAUUUUUUUUAUUUUUAUUGGUGUAUAUAUGAAGAAUGCCAUUUUUUAGCCCUCUGUCAGUUACAGAGAGUGAUUUAACGAGGAAUUCGUUGUAAAUCAGCUCAUUUAGCCAUUAUGUAUACUCGCUGUGUAGGUUAAAUAAAAAUAACAGGACAAAGCUAAGAAGAGCUAGGUCCUCUUCUCCUUAGUCUCCAAUGGCAAAUAUUAGACACCCCUUUCAAUCUUUGCACCAUCUUUCUUUGUCUACUUUUGUUCAAAAAACUGGAUCGUCAAUAUUUCUUCUUUUUCCGUUUUGUAUAGUUCAAAGAAACACAUCCCAAUAAUCUUCAUUAAAACAGAAUUGUCUGUGCUGUGCUGAACAAAGAUUUCUUCUUUAAACAGAAUUGUCAAAGUCUUGUGCCUUCAAGAAACCUUAUUCUCAUGCCAUCUCUCAUUCGUGAAAUGUCCAUAUCAUAUGGAGACCACUUGUAUAGAUGUUGCCAAAGACUUUCUUGUAAAAAAUCGCGACUGCUGCUACCAGAAACCACAUCCACUCUCGUAGAGCAAUUUGCACGUAGUGUUUCUGUGGACAUGCAAGGGCAUGGCCUUGAGCUCAUGGAAGCCCGUGCCUCAUCUUCUCCACAAGUGUCUCACGUCAAUUACAAUAUCUUCCAUUGAAUAUAUUGAAUUAGUGAUCAAAUUGCUAGAAAAAAAAAUACACCCACAAGUGUCUCACGUCAUUUACAAUAUCUUCCAUUGAAACCUAAUUCUCAUGCCAUCUCUCAUUCGUGAAAUGUCCAUAGCAAGACCCACUCUACCAUCCAAUGAAUUUCCAUCAUUUCAUUAGAAAAUUCAAACCCAAAAAACACGAUAACAAUCUAUUGGUUAGUGAAACUUUCACCGUGGAAUCUUGUAGAUCCAUGUACUAAAUUUGGAGUAAAGAAAGUAUAUAUAGAGAAGGACCAUGUGCUCCAAUUUGCCUGUCUGUGAUCUAUUUGGACGGAAUGUAGAUUCAACAAAUGAAAAACAUAUAGGUUAUUAGUUUGAAUUUCAUAAAUUUCAUACGGAGACUACUUAUAUAGAUAUUGCCAAUAACUUUCUCGUAAAGCAAUUUGCACGUAGUGUUUGUGUGGACAUGAGCUCAUGGAAGCCCGUGCCUCAUCCUCCCGUGUAGAUCUUGAGGUGCCACCGGGUCCAGAAUCCUCUGCCAUAAUAUUUGUUUUUGUAAUUUUAUUUAUUUAUUUAUUUAUUUUAAAUGAAUAUAUUUUUAAGUAAAAUUCAUCAACUAUAUACUUCAAAACAAAUCCUAACACGUGAUAUCAUGAUUUUGAUUAAUUUAUUAGGUCCGAUAAUAAUAUAACAAAGCAAACCAAUAACACAUAAAUAUAGUUAAAGUUAUGUUAUUCAUUUAGAUUGCUAUAAAUUAAAAAAUUAGAUAUAAAAAUGAAAAGGGGAAGAAAAUGUGUUCACAUCGAGGUAAAGUAUCAUAACAAAUAUGUGUGAUAAAAAAUUAAUUAGUAUUUUUGUUUAGGAUUCUUUAAGAUAAUUUAAUUUUUUUAUAUAAAAAAUAUUAAAACAAUUAAUUAGUAUUUAGGUUUAGGAUACUUGAAGAAUAAUUUAAAUAUUUUUUUAUAACAAAUAAAACAAAUUAUAAAAAUUAUUAAUUAGAAUUUUUGUUUAGAAAACUUCAAGGAUAAUUUAAUUUGUUUUUAUAAAAAAAUAGAAAACUAUUAUAAAAAAAUUAUUUAGGAUAUUUCAAAUAUAGUUUAAAUGUUUUUUUAUAUAUAUAAAAUAUUAAUUAGCAUUUCUGUUUCGAAUACUUGAAGGGUAAUUGAAAUAUUUUUUUUAUAACAAAUAAAAAAAUAUAUAAAAAAAUUAAUUAGAAUUUAUGUUUAGGAUUAUUCAAGGAUAGUUUUAAUUUUUUUAUAUAAAAAAUAGGAAACAUUUAUAAAAAAAAAUUAUUUAGGAUACUUCAAGUGUAAUUUAAAUAUUUUUUUUAUAAGAAAUAAAAACAUUAUAAAAAUAAAAUUAUAAUCUAUUCCCGUGGAUUGAUAGGAACUUCAUAAAAAUGGAUGGAUAGGAACUUCAUUUUUCUGUUCCCAUUAUAUAUCUCUAUUCCGUGGGAAAAUUGGUGAGUCUCUCAUCACAUACACUUUUCCAUUAUCUUUUCAGUGGAAAAUAUGGAAAUUAUUGGUGAACUGGAAAUUCCAAGUGUCUCACGUCAUUAUAGAGGAUAAAAUAUUUUGUAUAAAAAAUACAAUUAAAUUUUACAGAGUAUGUAUCUAAGCAAUUUGUGUUUGAAAAUAAUAAUAAAUUUUACAAAGUAUGUAUCUAAGUAGUUAAUUUCAACUUAAUUAGAGAAGAGAUGUAAUAAUCAAUGAUAUUAAAAACAAUUCCAAUAUAUCAUGUUUUCCUGCCUAUAAAUACCUCUCCAUGGAAGAGCCUAAUCUAGUACCAUAGCAAACCAUAUCCUAUGUCUCUUGAAAAACACACCAUGACGACGUCCUUACUAAACAAACCAUUCUUCUCCUUCUUUCUCCACGUCUUGUUUUUGCUCCUUCACAUAUUCAACUCUUCUUCUUUCUUUGCUUUAGCUGAACACACUUCCUCCACAACUUCACAUUUUGGUAAUAAUAAUACAGAAUCUGAGGCUCUUCUCCAAUGGAAAACCAGUCUUGACAACCAAAACCAGUCUUGCAUUAACUGGGUUGGAAUCACCUGUGACAAUUCUGGAAGCGUCACCAAUUCGAUACUUGAAAGUUUUGGUUUGAGAGGUACGCUUUAUGGUUUAAACUUCUCAUCCUUCCCCAAUCUUUUAUGUAUGGACCUUGCUAAUAAUUCUCUUUCUGGAACCAUCCCCCAUGAAAUUGGAAAAUUAAGAAAUUUAUCUUUCCUUGGUCUUUCUAUAAACCAAUUAUCUGGUCCCAUCUCUUCUUCUAUUGGAAACUUGACAAGCCUAUCCAUACUCUAUCUUUGGGAUAACAAACUCUCUGGUUCCAUUCCUCAGGAAAUUGAGUUGCUAGAGUCUCUCAAUGAACUUGACUUGUCAAUUAAUUUUUUUAAAACCAGUAGAAUCCCAUUUUUCAUUUGAAAAUUAAGAAAUUUAUCUCUUCUUGGUCUUUCUAUGAACCAACUCUCUGGUUUCAUUCCUCAGGAAAUUGGGUUGCUAGAGUCUCUCAAUGAACUUGACUUGUCAGGUAAUGUUUUAACCGGUAGAAUCCCUUAUUCCAUUGGAAAAUUAAAAAGUUUAUCUUUAUUUAGUCUUUCUAUGAACCAACUAUCUGGUCCCAUCCCUUCUCCUAUUGGUAACCUGACAAUGCUCACUAAACUUGAUCUAAGUCAAAAUAAUUUAUCUGGAUGUGUUCCUUCAGAAAUAGGACAACCUAAAUCGUUUGUGGACUUGAUAUUACAUGAGAACAAAUUUCACGGCCCAUUGCCCUUAGAGAUGAACAAUCUCACCCAUUUGAAGCUUUUGUCUUUGGGUAGCAAUGAAUUCACGGGUCAUUUGCCACUAGAAUUAUGCCAUGGAGGAGUAUUGGAAAGCUUUACUGCUGCCUACAGCUAUUUCUCAGGUUCAAUCCCGAAAAGAUUGAAAAACUAUACUAGUUUAUACCGAGUAAGACUUGAUUGGAAUCAAUUAACAGGAAAUAUUUCUGAGGUUUUUGGGGUCUAUCCACAUCUGGAUUAUAUUGAUUUGAGUUACAAUAAUUUUUAUAGUGAGCUUUCUUCAAAAUGGGAAGAUUGUCGUGACAUGACAAGCCUUAAAAUCUCAAACAAUAAUAUUUAUGUUGAGAUACCAACAGAGCUUGGGAAGGCUGCUCAAUUACGCUUGAUUGAUCUGUCAUCAAAUCAGUUAAAAGGAGCCAUCCCAAAAGAUUUAGGGAGUUUGAAUUUGUUGUACAAGCUUCUUCUUAACAACAACUAUCUUUCAGGUGUCAUUCCCUUAGAUAUUAACAUGCUUUCCAAUCUUCAAAUCCUUAAUUUAGCAUCUAAUAAUCUAAGUGGAUUGAUUCCAAAACAACUUGGGGAAUGCUCGAAUUUAUUGUUGCUGAACCUCAGCGGUAAUAAAUUUAGAGAAAGCAUUCCAGGUGAGAUAGGCUUUCUACUUUCUCUUCGAGAUCUUGAUCUUAGCUGCAAUUUCCUUACUCGAGAGAUACCGAGGCGACUUGGGCAACUGCAAAGGUUGGAAACUCUGAAUGUCUCUCACAACAUGCUUUCUGGACGGAUUCCGAGCACUUUCAAAGACAUGUUAAGCUUAACAACUGUGGAUAUAUCAUCCAAUAAGCUAUCCUGAUAUCAAAGCCUUCCACAACGCUUCUUUUGAGGCAUUAAGGGAUAAUAUGGGUAUAUGUGGCAACAACAGUGGUCUCAAGCCGUGCAAUCUUCCAAAAAGCAGCAAAACUGUUAAGAGAAAGAGCAAGAAACUUGUGGUUUUGAUUGUACUCCCUCUUUUAGGAAGCUUGCUUUUAGUGUUUGUUGUGGUUGGAGCUUUACUCAUUCUCUGCAAAAGAGCUAGGAAGAGAAACGCUGAGCCAAAAAAUGAACAAGAUCGAAACAUAUUCACGAUAUUGGGCCAUGAUGGGAAGAAGUUGUAUGAGAAUAUCGUUGAAGCUACAGAGGAAUUCAACUCCAACUACUGCAUUGGCGAAGGAGGAUAUGGAACUGUUUAUAAAGCAAUGAUGCCAACAGAACAGGUGGUUGCUGUGAAGAAACUUCACCGGUCACAAACAGAAAAGAUGUCCGAUUUUAAAGCUUUUGAAAAGGAAGUUUGCGUGUUGGCAAAUAUUCGACAUCGAAAUACUGUGAAAAUGUACGGAUUUUGCUCACAUGCAAAGCAUUCUUUUUUGGUUUAUGAGUUCAUUGAAAGAGGAAGCUUGAAAAAGAUUAUAACCAAUGAGGAACAAGCAAUUGAGUUCGAUUGGAUGAGAAGGCUAAACGUUGUGAAAGGGGUGGGUGGAGCUUUAUCCUAUCUACACCAUUCUUGCUCUCCUCCGAUCAUUCAUCGAGACAUUACCAGCAAUAAUAUCCUUCUGGACUUGGAAUAUGAAGCACACGUCUCCGACUUUGGCACAGCUAGACUGUUGAUGCCUGACUCGUCCAAUUGGACCUCAUUUGCAGGUACUUUUGGAUAUACUACUCCAGGUGCGUAGCUUUAUUUCAACAUUAAGUUACUAAUGUGUAAUAGUGAAGAUAAUAUAUAGUGUUUUUUCAGCUUUUAUUAUAAAGUCUUUUCUUUUAGCUAUUUGAUAAAAAACCAUGCAUAAUCAUGUUUUUUUGGCAGAGCUAGCUUACACAAUGAAGGUGACUGAAAAAUGCGAUGUCUAUAGCUUCGGAGUGGUAACAAUGGAGGUGAUGACAAGAAGGCACCCAGGCGAUCUCAUUUCAGCACUCCUAUCACCAGGAUCUUCGUCAUCAUCGUGGAUGCCACCGAUUGCUCAACAUACACUAUUGAAGGAUGUGUUAGACCACCGCAUCUCGCUUCCUAAAAAAGAAGCAGCAGAGGGCGUUGUCCACAUGAUGAAAAUUGCACUUGCAUGCUUGCAUCCCUAUCCCCAAUCCCGGCCUACAAUGGAAAAAAUUUCUUUUGAGCUUACAACCAAGUGGCCUCCAUUGCUUAAGGCAUUUUGCACAAUAAGUUUGGGAGAUCUCUUAAUCUCAUAGUGCUUAGCUACUUCUUUUUAAUUAUCAAUUGGAACAAUAAAUUUUUGUAAUAUGAAUUUUAUCAUCAAACUUUUUUUCUUUCAAAUUAUGUUGGCACUGUUUUAUGCGUUAGAAUUUGUUUUUCUUUGCAUGAAGGGUUUGAGAAUAUUAUUAUUAAAAGAACAAAAAAAAAAAAACAAGAGCUUCAGUAGGCAAAAUAAUCAACAGUAAGAAGGUAGCAACAUGACCCACUCUACCAACCAAUGAAUUUCCAACUUGAUGUUGAAUUUUCUAAUGAAAUAAAUUUCCAUCAUUUCAUUACAAAAUUCAAACCCAAAAAACACGAUAACAGUCUAUUGUUUGGUCAAACUUUCAUUGUGGAAUCUUGUAGAUAAAGGUACCCUCAUUCCAAACUGUCGAUAAAGGCUACCAUUCAACCAUGACGAGCAGGAUUAGAAUUAAUUAGAAUUUUUGUUUAAGAUAUUUCAAGAGUAGUUUAAAUGUUUUUUUAAAUAAAAAUUUAAUUAGAAUUUUUUUUAAGAUAGUUCAAGGAUAGUCUAAAUGUUUUUUUAAAUAAUAAAAUACAAAAUAAUUAUAAAAACAAUUAAUUAGGAUUUGGUUUAAGGUACUUGAAUGGUAGUUUAAAUAUUUUUUUAUAACAAAUAAAAAUAAUUACAAAACAAAUUAAUUAGGAUUUCUUUUUAAGAUACUUAAAAGAUAGUUUAAAUGUCUUUUAUAAAAAUAAAAAAUAUUUUAAAAAAAUUAAUUAGCAUUUCUAUUUAAAAUACUUUAAGGGUAGUUUAAAUGUUUUUUUAUAACAAACAAAAACAUUUAUAAAAAAAAAUUAAUUAAGAUUUUUAUUUAGAUUUAUUCAAGGAUAGUUUAAAUUUGUUUAUAAAAAAAUAGAAAACAUUUAUAAAAAAAUUUAUUUAGGAUACUACAAGUGUAGUUUAAAUGUUUUUUUAUAAAAACAAAUAUAAAAAUUUAAUUAGUAUUUCUGUUUAGGAUAUUUGAAGGGUAGUUUCAAUUUUUUUAAUAAAAACUAAAAAAAAUAUAAAAAAUUAAUUAGUAUUUUUAUUUAGGAUACUUCAAGGGUAAUUUAAAUGUAUAAAAAAAUUAAUUAGUAUUUUUGUUUAGAAUACUGUAAGGAUAGUUUAAAUAUUUUUUUUAUAUAUAAAAAAAAUAAUUAGCAUAUUUAUUUAAGAUGAAAAAAAUUAUAAAAACCGGUAUUUCUUAAUAAUUAGCAUAAUUCAAAAGACUCUUAAUAUUUUUUUAAAAAAUUGAUGUUAAAUUGUUGUAGAACGCAGAACACUAUACUAAUAACAACUCCAGGACAUACGCAGUGCCAAUUAUUUUAGAGAAGAUUUGAUAGGCCACUUCGAAGAGCUGUUUUUGUACGAUUUUAUUAUUAGGUAUUUCUUAAUAAUGUUUUUCCAACUCCUCCAAUGUAUUUCUUAAGACCUCUAGGAGAGAGGCAUGAGGAGAAGGAAAAAUCAGGGUCUAAAAGAAUCUCUCUACAUGGUUUGCAAACGUACUGUCAAUGGUUGCUGAUAUGUGACAUGCCAUGGAAUGGUUGCUGAUAUGUGACAUGCCAUGGAAUGGUUUGCAGCUAUGCUGCUGCUGCUGCUUCAGAGUUAAAUUACGAUCAAACAGCUUGAUCGAGUUGUAAAGCCAAGAGGGUUUUGAUCUCUCUCUGUCGUCUUUUCAGCCUUUUAUUUUUCUAAAGUAUUUGCGUACGGAUUAACUUUUUCAAUGCUACGCACAAGAAAAGAAAAAAAGAAACAGUUCAAAUUUAUUGGCAAAAUACUAAACAGGAAACAUGUAAAAUGGUAUUACUAGGUUAUGUCAUGGAAAAUAAAUUGGAAAAUAUUUUCUAGUAUUUAGUUAUGUUAUGGAAAAUGAACUGGAAAAUAAUUUAUUAAUGUUUUAUUUUUUUCAAGUUUAUUAAAAUAAUAAGGAACAAUUCUUACAAAUUAAAAAGUUAAAUGAGAAUGAAAUUAAAAAAACAUAUAAUUUCAUAAAUUAUCUCAAAUAAAAUAAAUAAUAAUCAAACUAAUAGAGAUCAAAUCUAAAAUAUAAAAAAAUUGAAAGAUGAAAAAAUGAAAAUAAUAAUAAUUAACAUUUUAUAAAUUAUUUCAAAUAAAAUAAGUAACAAUCAAAAGAAUAAGGAUCAAAUUUGAUAGAUAAAAAAUUUAAAUUAAAAAAUGAUAAGGAAAAAGCAAAUAACAAUUAUAAAAAUGAGGAUCAAAAUUAAAUAUAAAAAUUAAAUUCUAAGGGAUGAAAUUGAAAAACAAAUAUUCAAAACAAAAUAUAUAUAGCAAUCAAAAGUUUGAGGAUCAAAUUUGAUAUAAUAAGCAAAUAACAUGACAUUUCUAAAUUUUUCAUAGCUUCUGGAAAAUAUUUUCCGCCAAAAUAAAAGGAAAACACUUUUCUAGAAACCAAGUCAAAUUUUUCUUUGAUUGAAAAGUGUUUUCCGUUGACUGGAAAGUGUUUUCUGUUAACCAACUUUUAUAAUGACAGACAAACACAGAAAAGUCUAAAAAAUAGUUUUUUAAAAACCACUUUCCGAUAAAUAAACAAACAUAGCCUAAUUAGAAACUCACAUUUUCUCUGCCGUGAAUCACCCCAACACACUUAACCUCAUGAUUCAAGAGGUACUUGCCGUCUCAUUUCCUUUUGGCAUAUUUAGAGAGAUUUAACUCUACUUACCUUUCACACCGCAAUUUAGAAACUGAAAUUAAUGCAUAUGGGGGGGGGGGGGGAGACAAGCCAAAGUACAUAUAACAAGAAACAAAAGCGUUUAAUUCUCAAAUCAUUGUCAUGAAUAAUGCCGACAAGGACUCAUCAAUAAAGUGCAAAAUUAAACAACAUUAUUCAUAUCGACUUUGUUCAUGGAUUUUCUCAGUAACCUUAAGAAGAAAUCAGAAAGUUGAUUCUUCUUCACUUCUCUUCAGUGUUUGCUUUCUCGAAAAAGGUGUUUUUAAUCCAAUCAAAUGGCUGGAAAUGAAACAAUAAAAACUUUAAGGUUUCAUGUUCAUAAAUUGAGGAAAAGAGACAUGAUCAUGGACAAAACAUAGUUUGCAAAAACAUUUUCUUUCUGUUGGAGUAGAGAAAGCGCAUUUGCUUAUUGAAGGACCACUGUUGAGAUAUUUAACUUACCACAUAAUCAACAAUAAUGUUUGAUAAACAAUUUCUUAGGUUUAAAUCAGCAGUUAAAGCACAUUUCCAUCCAUAAUCGUCAAAAAAAGUGAAACAAGAGCAUCCCUAUUUUAUAUGGGCAAGCAGACAAUCAGAUUAAAAACAACUAUGCUCCAUCGACAUACACGAAACAUUUCUAGAUGGGUGUUUAUCCAAUUGUUGGUAAAGUUUACAUUUUUCUCUCAAUCCGUUUUUUUCUAUAGCAUAUUAUGGUAUAGCUAAUCACAUGUAAUGACAAAUUACAGCAAAAUUAUUAAAAGCAUAGAUUAAGAAAGGAUGUCUAAUGCCUGAAAAGAAUACACUAAAGCUUUUGUGUGUUCUCUUUUUAUUAUAGAAUGUAUAACAUGUAUAUCUCUAAAUAGAAAAUUAAUGUAGGAUUAUUCCAAUAUUGUAAUCUCUAUGGUUAUUGUCGUGUUCUGCUCUACAUAUAUAAAUAGAAAAGGUUGGCUAAGGCCAACCAAGCUAUUCUGUUACUCUCAACUUGGUAUUAGAGCCUUAAAUAAAUUAAAACACCUCUUGUCCUCUCUGCAAUGGAUCCCUCCCAGCCGGUAGCCAUCUCUCCCUCUGCAGCAGCACCGGUGGUGCCAUGCUCCUCUCCUGUUGCAGCACCACCUUCUUUUUCAGCUUCAGUUCUGCAAUGGCCACAACCUAUAGAUGUUGGCCAUGCGCUCUUCAACCCCAAUAAUGCUCCUUUGCUGCCAUCCUCUUCUGCUGAAGUCAUUGCUGUUGGUGGGAGAAACCACUGGUGGUGGCUUUGAAACACUCAGAGGGGAUAAAACACAUUUGUGUGUACUAACUCAAGUGGCCUCUUUGCUCUCCAGUUGACUUCUUUGGCAAAACUGGAUAUGUGAUGUUUGCUGAGGACACAACUUUCACAGACUUCAUCUGGAUGAUUAAUGUGAGGCAAACCUUUGACCAUCUUCUUGCUUGCUAGCUUCUUCGGAAUUGUGAAAUUCAGAUGUCCAAGCCUCAGGUGCCAAAGCCAUUCUUCACUGUUGGUGAUGGCGCUCAAACACCUUGCUGCAUCAUACUGGAUGUUCAAAGGAAACAUCCUAUUCUUGUACAUUUUCACGUAGGCCAUUAAUCUCCAAUUAUUGUCUCUAAUUGUCAAAUGACAAUUCUUCGAGUAAAAAUUAUAGCCUCUCUCCAUAAGUUGACCUAAGCUGAUCAGGUUCUGCUUUAUGGCUGGGACAUAAUACACAUCGGCGAUGUAGCUGGAAUCGUCGUUCUUCAACUUGAUUGGGAUGCUGCCUUUACCUUUGAAUGGAACCUUUGUGGUAUCUCUAAAAGUAACUAGACCUUGCUUGGUGUCAUCUAGAUCACUAAAUAACUCUCGGUAGCCACACAUGUGAUUGCUGGCUCCAGUAUCUAGAUACCAUAUAUCCUCUUUAUUCUCACCAAGUCCUUGUUGGACAAGUAAUGCAGCUGCUUCUCUGUCAUCCUUCUCUGCAUAGUUGGCUUGCUCGCGUAUCUCUAACGGAGCUUUUCUUCUGUAUUCAGUGCUAUAGUGCCCAAAUUGAUUGCAACUAUAACACUGGAUAUUCCUCUUCUCACGGUUAUUGUAACCGCCUCCUCUUCCUCUAGGAGUGAAUGCUUGUUGUCCUCAACCUCCUCUGGUGGUGUUUCUACCACCUCUUCCUCUAAAGCUUGUAUUCCAAGAACCUCUUUCUUGAAAUCUUUGGAAUCCUCCUCUGGAUUGUUGACUUCCUGCUUGAGUGGUAUAUCCACUUGUUGAAGUCUCCCCUUGCUCAUAUCUGUCCUUGAGAGACAGCUUUGCUUGUAAGGCAUGCUCAAUGGCCUUAUCUCCAUUUCACUUUACAAUCUUCUGCUCAUGAGCUUGCAAGGAACUCAUAAGCUCAUCAACCGUCAACUUGUCCACUUCUUUGGACUCUUCAAUUGCAACAACAACAAAAUCGAAUUUUGGAUCUAGGGAUCUCAAAAUUUUCUCAGUAAUUCGAGAGUCAAUGAUGGCUUCUCCAUUUCUCCUCAUCUGAUUGACUAUCACCAUAAUUCUUGUGUGAUAAUCAGAAAUAGACUUUGAGGACUUCAUUUGCAAUAGUUCGAAUUCACCUUGCAAAGAUUGAAGACGAAUCUUCUUGAUUCUGUCAGCACCUUUGUAUUUUUGUUGGAGAGCCUCCCAUAUGUCAUGUGAUGUUUCAGCAGAAGCUAUGAUCUCGAAUGUAUCUUCAUCAAGACCUUGAUAGAUGAUGGUCUUUGCUUUGUUGUCUUUCUUUAUGUUGACUUUCAGGGCUUGCUUAUGUGCCUCUUGUAGAGCAUCUUCUGCUUCUGUGGACUCUGGUUCAUCAUAACCAUGUUGUACAAUAUCCAAACACUCUUGUGAACCAAAGAAUGCCUUUAAUCUGAUGCACCAACUAUCAUAGUUGUCUUUGGUCAGCUUCGGGAUGAGUGUAUGUGUACCUUUUGUAGUCAUUUUGCUCUUUGAAUGACUAUAUCACCUUUCUGCAAGCCGAAUUUGACCAAAUGGACACUGUAGAUCGAUUCGAAAUGGUCCAAAUAGUAGGGAACCGGUUUGGCUUUGUUGAAAUCGGGUCAGAAAAUGGGUGAACCGGUCAAAACACCAAUUUUAUACUGCGGGCGGUUCGUUGGGGUCGAACAGGGAAUAUUCGGGCGACUCUGCUGCGGCUGGGAAAAUGGCUCGACUAUGGCGCGCGUACAGUGCGGCUUGUCAGCUCGGCUUCGGACUCGGGUACGGCUCGGCUUGCGGCUCGGCUAGGACUCGGCGUAAAUGGCUUGGCGCGGCUCAAAUAUGGCGCGCGUGUGACUCAGUCGUCGUCUACCUCUGGGCGCGUGGGCGUCUGUGCAGAAUCUUCAGGAGGCGCGUGUGGCUCACCGCAGGCUCUGAUCAGGCUGUUCUUUGCACCAGUGAGUUCGUCUGGAGGAGCUCUACAUUGUGGAAUGAUCAAAACUUGUUUUUGACAACUUUGAAAAUUCAGAUAUACCCCAAAACUCUUCUGUUUUCUGAUGAACGGGGCUCUGAUACCAAUUAUUGGUGGGAGAAAUCAUUGGUGGUGGCUUUGAAACACUCAGAGGGGAUAAAACACAAAGUUUUAUUACAAAAAACAAAAGCUUACAAAUACAACAUAACUCACAAUACACACCCUCUAUUUCUCUCUAAUGUUUCUCUCUAUUCUCUCCACACAAUUUAACAGAAGCUGGGCACUCUAUUUAUACACAAAAUCAAAAUACAAAAAUUCAAACUUUCCAAGUGUGAAGGUGGCUAGCGGCUGCAGGUGUGGAGGCGGCUGGCGGCUGGUCGGUGGGUGGUUGCCUUCCUUGACCUUCUGGAUAUUGAGUUUAAUACUCAACAAUUGCAGCUUCUGCUGUGGCAAUAGUGUCCCUCUCCCACACUCAUCAGGUCAUCUCUCUUAAACUGACAAACACUAAUUAUUUGUAUUGGCAAAUAUAGAUGAAAUUGUAUCUUCUAGGCCAAAGAGUUUUCGGCUUUGUUGAUGGUUCAAACUCCUACCCCUCUCCAUAUAUUCUUGCUGGGAAUUCACUGAAACAUGUGAUCUAAAUGAUGCAAAGAAACGAAAAGUAAGUGGUGAAGAUUCAGAUUUCACCAUUGAUGCUGGGAAUUCACUGGACCUAGCAGAAAAUUGUUCAGUUGGUAAUAAAAAAGGCAACAAUUAUCAUGACAUGUCAUCCACAUCCUUCAGUACUCAAUAUUUGAGAACAGCGUGUGAGAACUUCAAACAGAAAUACUUGUUUGUGUUUAGUUCAAAACUUUCUGCAGCUCAGCUAGACUUU